rnacentral:lncRNA from 1 species
CCUCUCUCUCUUCACUCUCACUCUUCUUCCACUUUCCGACUUCCCUUCCACGUGAUGUAGCUUCAGCUGGCUCAAUCGAAACGUCACUAAAAUUGUGCCCUCCUUUUGGUCCUAGCUUUCUCAGAUUCAUCAUCUUUCUCGGAAAAUUCGAUCCCCUUUUGGCUCUCAAUAUACUCUCUCAGAACUUUUAUCGUACACUUUGCAAUCCAACGAAAAGAUCAAGGAUGCUUCGAACCCCACAUUUGUACGAUUCAAAUGUCGCCAAGUUCCCUCUCGUUGCAUCUCCCCAUUCAUCUCACCCUGUCGCUUCUUGCACACUAGCUUCUCCUGUUCUUGAAAUGGGGUAAUUCUUUUGUAUUUCUCUGUUUUCUUUAUUUUUUUUAUAUGACAGAUUGAAUUUUCGGUAUUUUGGUUUGAAUUUUCACUUUUUGCGCACUUGGGUCCAUUUUAGUGAUUAAACUUGGGUGGGUUAUGUUUUAAGUUCAUAAAAAUGAAUACUUUUCAACUUUCAAGUUUAAAGAGUAUCAUACAAAAUUGUGCCAAAAAUGCAUUUGUAGCAGUGCAUCUUCCAGCAUUUUAUUAGGAUGAUACGUGGUGAACAGUGCUGUCUUCUUUGUUGGAAUGACUAGUUUCAUGUUAUGGUACUAUUUUGAUUUGUGAUGAAAUCGAGUUAUUGUUGAUUUCGGCAUUGACGGUUUAUUAGAUUGAAGUGGAAUAAACAAGCAUCGGGUAGCAAUCAGCAAGGAAUUGUCAGAAAGGCAUGUUUAUCUUUCCAUAAUGCAUCAGCCUUUGUAUUUGUUUUGGUUUUGCAUUGUUGGUAAUUAUAUGGAUGGACUUGUGGCAUAGGUUAGACCCGGGAUGGUGCAAAGCAUAGCACAGCUAAUGCUUACGGUCAGCGUGCUCAAGAACGUGUGCUUGAGGUAUUUCUUUUCAUGUAGGAUCAUGUAUUUUGCUUUCUAUAUCUGUUGGCUGAUACUUCCAAAUUAUUUAAUAUUCAUAAAUACAAUACUAAAACAGUGGCGAUUCAUCUAUAUGCUUGAGAGCCAUAUACUGAUUGAUGAUUUUUUUCCCUAAUCGACUUCUUACCAAUGCCGGAAUGGGAAUAUUCCACAUUUUCAUGUGUUCACUGUUUGUGGUUAUAGGAAGAAGCCCCCCAACUGUCAGAAUCCAGCUCAUCAUGGAAAACUUUCCCAGGUCAAGCUUUUCCGCUGGGUGUAUCAGAAGUUGACAAUGGGAUAAAUUUUGCUAUCUUUUCACAGCAUGCAACUGCUGUCACACUUUGCUUAUCACUUCCAGAGAGGUAACAUCGUAUUUUCAUUUUGUUCAUUGCCUAAUAUCCAAUUGUGUACACUCACGUAUAUAUGAACAUCUGUAUUUAUGGGUAAAAAUCUUGCCAUAUACCAGGCCUGUUAUGUUACAGAUUGACAAUCUAAAAAUGUAAGUUUGGAAAUCAAUCUGGGGGUUGUUCUCUCUGGUUGUAGAGACAGGUUUCUUUAGUUUCCUUUGAGAAUACAUAUGUUUGGUUCAUUCUUCUCUCUCUCUCAGUUGCUGAAACUUGUGGUCUGGACUGGGGCCUUUGUGUAUAUCCACAUUGUGUGUUUUGCAUAAAAGAGCGGCAGAGAGCAUUCAUCAUUCCUUUUCCCAUUGUCCAUUGACUCCAUUCACCAUGCGAUUUUGGUUUAGGUUUAUGCAUAAUUUUGAAGUGGUCGGGGUUUGGUCUAGAUAUUUUCAUUCUUGGGUGGAAGUGUACUUGAGUGUUGGGGCUAGCACAAGGGUAAUUAUUGUUUUGUGCUGUUCGGGCUCAGCAGCAAUGUGGAAGUUUUGUUGGAAAGAAAUGAUAGGCUAUUUGAUAAGGUGGUGGAAGUUUCCCUUUGUUUGAAACUGAUUAGAUCAUUUUUUUGCGUGUAGGAAACUGAAAAAAGUAGAUUUUUAACAUCUUCUGAAUGUAACUUUGAUUAGAGGGACUUUGAUCUGAAUGGAAGUUAAUUUCUUUUUUAAGGACAGACUGUAGUGUUGAUGUAGAUGGAUCAUAGAAGUCGUCUGCAGCCUUUUUGGAGAUAUUUAUUCUUUCUCUUUUAGUAAAAGUUAUGUUUCCUAUAAAAAUGUCUGUCUUUCUAAAAAGUUUCAUUGAUUUAUGCCUGUUGGUUUAAAAUUCAAUUUAUUAAUUGCUGUUACUAGAUGGACAUCUUCUGUAGACCAACUUUUGAUAAAUAUAAUUUUUGUCAGGGAAAGGCUUGGAGGGCUGGAUGGUGGAAUGAUGGAGCUGCCUUUGGAUCCUAAUGUUAACAAGACUGGUGACAUUUGGCACAUAUGCAUCAAGGUAAUUUUUGAUAUAGGUUACUCAAAGCACCACCUGUCUUUGAGCUGUCCUUGAUUUAAUGAUGGCAUUAGUUCUAUGCUUGAACACACACUACUCUCUUUCUUUGUCUCUGUCUCUGUCUCUGUCUCUGUCUCUCUCCUAUGAGAAUAUAUCUCUUCGCGUAGUCUUCAUGAACUAUGACUCAUGAUAAUGAAAUCAUUUCUUCCCAGGAUUUGCCCCGGAGCAAUGUUCUUUAUGGUUAUCGUAUGGAUGGGCCACAAGGUUGGCAUCAGGGACAUCGAUUUGAUAGCAGCAUUGUGCUUGUAGAUCCUUAUGCAAAGCUAGUUGAAGGCCGUCGGAUGUUUGGAGACACCACGAAAAAGUUAUCUAAAUUUCUUGGAACUUAUGAUUUUGAUAGCUUGCCUUUUGACUGGGGAGAAAACUACAAGCUCCCAAAUAUACCUGAGGUAAAUAAGUUAUGCAGAGAACAUGAUAAAUUGUUGUCUUGAUAGAUUUGUUCAAUCAGAUGCAAGUUUGAUAGUUCCUCUCUCUUUCUCCCCUCAACAUCACAACUUAUGGUUUAUGAGCAAAUCAUAACUGAAUACAUUUUUAUUAAUAUCUGUAUUAUUUAUAUGCUCAUAGUUGAUAUGAUUUAAUUUUCAAAUUUUGAAUUAUUUUCUUUUUUUACGCAACUAAUCAUUUUAUGCUCCAUCUUGUUUCUGAGUUAAAUGUAGACUUCAAUACAUUGCAUCACAUCUUAACCUGUAUGUAUUCUGCCGUUUUUUCAGAAGGAUCUUGUUAUAUAUGAAAUGAAUGUUCGUGCAUAUACAGCUGAUGAAUCCAGUGGUUUGGAUCCAGAUAUUCGUGGUAGCUACCUUGGUAUGAUCGAGAAGGUAUUAAUUGAUUAUAACAUGACGAAUGACAAUCUAUCCAUAUAAUAGCAUCUCUUUAUACAAAGUACAAUAUCCGAAUCAAUUAUCUGAAUGCACCCUGUAUCCUUCCUUACCUUGAUUCAAUGACAUUUUGCUUUGUUUUUUGAAAUUUCGAUUAUUUCCUUUUAUUCCAAGCCAUGCUUCCAUAGAUAACGUUGACCAGAAAACUAUAACUAAGUUAUGGUAAGGAGAUACCUAUGGAGACAUGUAUAAUGAUAUCUUAAAUCUUUUUUUUCCAUAAAUGGGGGUAAGGCUAGCCGACAUUCACCUCUCCCAGACCCUGCCUAAAGCGGGAGCCUUGUGCACUGGGUACGACCUGUUUUCUUUUGAAAAGACAGUAUCUCAGGUUUUUAUCUGCUGCCUCACUUUUAAUAAAAUAACUUUGAUUUUUUGUUUGAGCUCUAUAUUUGUUUGAAGUGAUGCCCAAUUGACCAUAAGUAUGUCUAAUAAAAGUUAAAUUUUUUGCCAAGUUGUUCUUGCUGGGCACGAUUUCCAGGAGACAAGACUAGUGAACCUUUAUGCCCUCAGAAGAAAUUGUCUAAGGGGCCCUUAGUUCUAAUUUGCUUAAAGAAUUGAUUUGCAAUGUGAAUACAUCUAGUGCUUUCUUACAUGCAAUAAAGCGUGGCAAGUUAAAGACAGAUCAUGAAUAAUGACAACAUAUACUGCCUUACGUGCUUAGACUUAUCCUUUUAUCAUUCAUUAAGUAGAAUGAUCGCUCUUUAAUUGUUUUCAGGAAGAUGCUAUGGAUGGUUCAUAUUUCAAUUUCAACUGUUGAUGAACUUCUCUGAUAUUUCCUCUCCAUUUUAUCUUUAGAUUCCACACCUUCGAGAGCUUGGUAUCAAUGCAGUGGAAUUGCUGCCUGUCUUCGAAUUUGAUGAGUUUGAGUUUCAGAGGCGACCAAAUCCUAGAGAUCACAUGGUAUUUAAAUCAACUUCUCUCAUUUGUUUACUGAAGUUUAUAAUAUAUACAUUGCUGUAGCUUUCCUUUUAACUUCUCUUCAUAGUCGGAGAUGAAAAUCUGGAUGUUAUCACUGUCACGAAGAGAUGCUAGUGACUGAUAAGUAGGAUACCCUGGGUGGUUCUGAAAUUAAAACUUGAUAUCCAAGAUGUUUCAACAAGAUGAUAUUUUGAUUAUUUUUUGUGAUUUACAUGAUGAACUCCAAUCAGCCGACCCCACUUAGUGGGAUAAGGUUUGGUUGUUGUUUGUACGUAAGGAACUCCAAUAAAUUGAACAUUGAAUAAUUGUUGUGUAUUUUUCUUUUUCUGAAUUUUAAAGCCUGUAAGCAUUAACCGUCAGCCUGGCAAGCGAUCUAAUUUGUUUACCAAUGUGUGUAUAUGGCUUCUUUUGCUUUGAAGAUAAAUACCUGGGGCUACUCGACAAUAAAUUUCUUUGCUCCUAUGAGCCGCUAUGCAAGUGCUGGUGGAGGACCCGUUAAAGCUUCUCAGGAAUUUAAACAAAUGGUUAAAGCCUUGCAUGGUGCUGGGAUAGAGGUAAAUUAUGUCUUUUCUGCAAUUUUCCUGUUAUUGCAGUAGUGAAACUUUAUCCUUUUGGACAGGUCAUUUUGGAUGUUGUCUACAAUCAUACUAAUGAAGCUGACGAUGCAAACCCCUAUACAACUUCAUUUCGUGGCAUAGAUAAUAAGGUGAUGUCACACUUCUGUUACACUAUUUAAGUUACAUUAUUUCAUGAACUGACCAUAUGUUUUAAUCCCCAAACCAUAUGUUUUAAAUUUUAAUCCCCAAACGGUUGGAAUUAUGGCUGAGAUAAACUAUAUUUUACUGCCAUCAAAUAGAGAAAAAAUUUCCUUGCACCUCCUAGGUCUAAAAGACUGGAAUUUAGUCAACUAUAUAAGAGCGAACUGAUUCUUUUUAGUCUUUAUAAAUAUCGUGCAUCUAAUCUAAGCUAGAAUUUUGCUAAUAAGGAUAGGCUACAACUGUUUAGGGUUCUGAAUUUUGGAGUGUACCUACAUUUUCUAAUUCGGAGUUUACCUACAUGGUUCCCUUGUCGAAUAAAUUUCUGGCUGUGGCAGGAUGUACAACUUUAAAAUACUGGACAUCUAUUUUAAAAUAAGUUAUUGUAUUCAUUAUAUCAGAUAUUCUUUAUAAAUGAUGCGUCCUACGCCUACAGGUUUACUACAUGCUGGACAUGAACAACAAUGGCCAAUUACUGAACUACUCUGGCUGCGGUAAUUCAAAUGUCUUUUCUAACUGUCUUCUUACCUGUAAAUUGUCUCUUGCUGCUGCUAUAGAGAUAUAUAUUAAAUGAACUUUCUACUCUCUUUUAUUAAUUAUCUGUCUCAUCUGCAAUUGAUGGAUAUUCUGACGGUGCCUUUUUAUCAAGUUAAGGUGUAUGGAAUGUUUUAUACUAUGGAUGUGAUACAUUAUAUACAUAUGGGAUGGUUAUGUCAACGAAGGGCAAGUAUAUGUAUUUCACUAAACCGAAGCAAACUUUGAAAGUGACGAAAUUUAUGGACUGUACUGCUGGAUUUUGGAUGCAAAACAGGAUUUGACUUUGUGCUUGAAUAAAGGUUAAAACUAUUAUUGUUAACAUGUGAGGUUCUAAGAUUUUGUUUUCUGUUGGUUUUCAGGGAACACAUUAAACUGUAACCAUCCUGUUGUCAUGGAGCUCAUUCUUGACAGCUUAAGACAUUGGUAAGGUCACAAUUCAUAGAGUACUAAUUUAUCUUCUUUUGUUUUUUAAGAACAAAGGAUUGCAACGUAUAUGUUUUUUAACCUAUUGUGUAGCCACCUUCAAUCUGUUGUCAUUUCUAUUCAUCUGGUUAAAAAUGUCCUAAUUGUAUUUGUGAUGUCUUUUAUCAUGUAACACUUAUAAACUUAUCCAAAUGUCAUAUAUGACAUAAAAGUCUAUGGCUUUAGCCCCUUCCUACUCCCUAAUACCUUCUUUUUCCUUAGUACUUUCAUGGAAUUAUACCUUCUCCCAUGAUUCAGGCAAAGAAUUAAUAUUUAGCCGAAAAUGACCGACCCAUAAUUUAAUUUAAUAUUGUUGAACUUAAGUCAGCCAAUCCAAAACCAAUUGGCAAUAAGCCCAAGAGUUUGUAUAUUGUGGUGCAAGACUUAGAAUUCCCGAUUUGGGAUUUUAUAUUCUCAUUAAGCCCCGGUCCGUGUGGCUAGACUCAACCAAACAAGUAGAUGUAAAAAAUUGGGUGAUGUUGAGCAUGUGUGACCAUAUUGGGCCGGACAAUAAAAAUUGCCUGUUCUGGUGUCAUGUUAGUAUUAGAGCAUGCAGCCCUAACUUAGAAUUUCCAAUAUAAGAGUUUAAAAUUGUCUACAUAAUUGACUAAUAUAAUAUCCAUUGUCUCAUAAAUGGUCUUUAUUCAUUGAUUUAUAUACUGAAUAGGUAGUUCAUAUCAAGCUUCAUACUUUAUCGUUUUUAAAAAUUUUCAGGGUUGUUGAAUAUCAUGUAGAUGGGUUUAGAUUUGACCUUGCCAGUGUUCUUUGUCGGGGAACAGAUGGAACUCCUCUUGAUGCACCACCAGUUAUUAGGGUAAGUUAUCUGCAAAUACACCCAUAUGGAAGUUCUCUUCAUAUAUCUAGUUUUAAAUCAAUAUCUUUGUUAUUAUGAAUUCCUAAAAAUAUGUGUUGUUACUUUUAUAGUUACAAGUUUGUGGCCAUUGCUAUGGGCAUAAUUAUAUGUGCUUUUCUAUGUAGAUUUGCCUUCUAGUUAUUGAGUGGAGUUCUAGAAACUUAGUUGUGUGAGGAUUGACUUAGCCUUGUUUGUUGGACCAGGCUAUUGCAAAAGAUGCUAUCCUAUCAAGAUGUAAAAUCAUUUCCGAACCUUGGGAUUGUGGAGGCCUUUAUCUUGUUGGAAGAUUUCCAAAUUGGGACAGGUAAUUCAUGUUACAAAUGUACACCUCAUCAUAGUUAUGUUGGAGACACUGUUAACCUGAGAUAUCUACAAAUAAAAGUACUUUAUUCUCAAAGAAAAAAGAGGAGACUAUGUUACACCCUCUAAUUUUAUUUCUGUUUCUUUGUGAAUAAAGCUGACUUGCCAGGAAAAUGUAACAAUUCAUUGUCUCCAUCAAUAGCUGAGUCUUUUGCUUCUGGAUUAUGUUUUUUUUCCUUGUCGUGCUUCACAUUGUAUUUAAGGACCACUUCUUGGUCUGUAUUGUUACGAGUUGUGCAUGGGGUGUUUCUAUUGUUUGGUUAAGGAUGCAAAUAUUGAUGUUGGUGGAAAUAUCAGAAAUAUGCGUAAAAGUUAAACUUAAAAACAUGAUAAUUUUGAAUUGAAGUUUAGGAAAUAACCAAUUACUGAUGCAUCAAUUAAACAUGUGGUUCUACUGGCUGGUUGAUAGGAAAUUACAGAUUCAUUGUAAUGCUUGCAGAGGAGUACGUGUCUGAAACCUGUACUUUUAGUAACAGACAUCAAAGAGCUUAAGACUUUUAGAAAAACUGGAUACGAUUACUACCAGAUUGGUUGUUUAACUUGCUUAUUUGUUUCUUUAAUCGACCAACUCCUAGACUAUCACAAAGUUUCCUCUCUGGAUAAACAAGCCCUUGUACAUAGACUUGCAUCAAAAGGUUUAAUCUUGGACUUUCAAGGCGUUGUUCUUUGUUAGCCAAGUUGUAUCUACUAUGUACUGUAUCCAAGAGAUGUCGAACAUUAUCAUAUCCGUGAGUAUGUCAGGGAUCGGCUGUAUGCAUUUUAGAUUAUUAUUAACAAGUGUGGUAUUGCAGCCACAAGAAAGAAACAAUGAAAAGCAAACAGAUGAUUUUAAAUGUGGGUUUCUAGUUGGAACUUUGACAAGGAAAAAAAAAAAAGGUCGUACCCAGUGCACAAGAUUAAGGGUUUUAUCUUACAUUGCCGGUCCCAAGCCCGGAUAAAGGAGGAGGGGGAGGGCGUCAGGUAGUAGACAACCGGCACUCCUAAGUUACGUCGAAUCCUUAUGAAAAUGAAUCCAAAACGAAAUCGAGCUAAAGCUAGGGCGUCACCAGUAAGUGGCGCGUUGUGUGGCCCGAGCACAGUGAUAAAUGAGCAAGGGUCGCUGUUUUCCCCACUUAGUGGGAAAAGGCUUUGUUGUUGUUGUUAUAUUUCAAUAUUGGUAGAGACGUAUUGUUCUCUCCCUCACAAUAUAAGAACUCAGAGGUUGGCUUCUUCUUGGGAAGUCCUAAUUUGUUUCUUUCACAUGGUGGGCACUCUUUUUCUCUUUUGGCCCUCACAGUUUUUCAGAGGUUAUGCUCUCAUUAGAGUAAGUCCCAACUUGGUUACAUUUUCGUUGCACUCCCUUUUGGUGUUUGAUGUUUUCUUUAACACUUUUCCACCAAUACACGUUACACACACUUUUUCGUAGCUAAAGCAAGCAUCCACUAGGAGUCUAGGACGAAGGACUUUGCAACCAUCCGAUACAUCUCAUUAUGAAGGGAUUAAUUUGUUGGAGCUCUCAUUUAUCCUAUUCCUAGUUACAAUAACAUAAUCAAUACAAGAGAUUAAUUUUAACAUUCCGGACCUAUGAACCAAUAUCAGUGCUUUGCAGACAAAGUUUCUUUGCGGGGAUAUACUAAAAAUAGAUGAUUGAAAAUUAUAGCUUUAUCAAUGAGAGUCACAAAGUAUGUUAAUUUGUGAGAUUCUGAUGUUACCUUUGCCCUUUUGAAGCGCACUCGGCCUUAUACCUUUUCCUUUGAAGAAGUUAUAGCUUCUUUUUUCCCAUCAUCAAUGUUAUAAAUCCUGGUAAAUGGCAAGCCUGUUCCAUGAAGUAUCUAGUAGUAUAAGGCACCUGAUAUUAUCAACUUUAGUUAUGCACCAAUUUGUUUGUAAAGAUCUUUCUAUGCCUGCGAAAGUUUGGAUGGCUCUCCUCUGUUACUUAUGAGAUCCCUUUAAUGCAGGUGGGCUGAAUGGAAUGGGAAAUAUCGUGAUGAUCUAAGGAGAUUUAUAAAGGUAUUCCCAUGAAACAACACUUGCCUUAGAUGGUCUAUAGCUUAUCCGCGUUGUUAACUUUAGUGCAAAGUACAAGAACUGAUAUAAGAGCAAAUACUGAAGUAUGUGUAUGGAUUAUAAAUCAAAGGGAUUUCCUCUCAAUUGAAUCCAAAAGAGGCUGAAUUUGAUAAGGAAUGGUUUGCAUAAGAUUGAACGGGUUCAUCUAUUUAUAUUGGUGGAUGCUUUCUGAAGCUUUUCCAUAAACUGAUGCAAUGGAAUAAAUUUUUAGUAUACAAUGCUGUUAGUCAUUAUUUCUUUUGACUUCCAUGAUCCCUUUUCUUUAGCGUUGCAUUUAUGUUUCUCUCCCUCUUUUUCUUGGCAUGAUUUUAACUUUUUAUCGUUGUUAUUAUUUGUAGCAUCUUAGCACCACUUUCUUGUAUUUUAUUGUGGUGUUUAGGGAAGCUAAAGAAACAUUUGGAUUGUAAAUUACAUAGAACCACACACACAUACGCAAAACAUGUACCUAUUUAUUUAUAUUUUUAGAUUUUUUUUCAUUGAAUUUCCUUUAUACAGGGCGACUCUGGUAUGAAGGGAAGUUUUGCAACUCGUGUUUCUGGGUCUGCUGACCUUUACAAAGUAAGUAUUUUCAUCAAUACUAUUGCAUUAACUACUGUUUGCCGUUUACUAUCAUUUCCUUUUCUUUGUAACCAUCAAUUCGGUAUUCUUGAUGUUUGCCAUGCAAACUUGUUAAGCUUUCUAUUCUGUGUUUUGAAUUUCAACUGGGAUGAUUUGCCCCCAGCUUAAAAUUCAAUGAAAUUGAACAUGGAGAUGGGUUCAUUAUUGGGAUCAAAAACUUAUCCCCCAAGAUUUAUCGUCUCUGGUGAUACCCCAUUACAAUCAAAAGAAUGGAAUGCCUUAUAUUUCAUAUUGAGGCAGCCACACAUCUUUCUGUUCUGAAAAUGAUCUUUUUCUCCACAAACUAUCUUGAUUGCAUCUGGUCUCAUCACCCUCCUUACUGAAACUUUUUAUUGUGAUGCAACCAAAGUACCCUCAUGCUCAUGCUUAAAAUGAUUGAAUGUGUUUUUUUUCCUUUCUCGUUUCUACAAUACCCCAAAACUCUUUUUUAAGUUUAUGGUUUUAUUCUAUCAUCUGGAAUAAUAGAAAGAUGUAGAGUAUCUGAUUUCACAACCUUAAACUACAAUUAUUAUUUCUUUUGUUUUAGGAUAAGGGUUUGUUGUUGUUGUUGUUGUUGUUGUUGUAUGGUCAACUUAGCAACAUCUUAAUCUGGAUUUGUAUUAUUUUACUCGCUCUUGUUCAAAAUCUGUGAAUUUGUUUGGAUUUAAUGCAAGGUCUCGUUACAUUUUCUCACUAUUUUCACUUAUUCCACAGGUGAAUAAGCGCAAACCCUAUCACAGUGUUAAUUUUAUUAUUGCGCAUGAUGGGUUCACUCUAUAUGAUCUUGUUUCAUACAAUUUCAAGGUACUUCAACAGUUAAUACAUCAUUUUGUUUUUUUUGUGUUUUUGGUUCAUUUAAGGCUACAUCAUCCACUAUGUCCCUUCAUUGUUGAUUUUGUAGCACAACGAGGCUAAUGGAGAAGGAGGAAAUGAUGGAAGUAAUGAUAAUUUGAGCUGGAAUUGUGGUCAUGAAGGUAGGGCUAACUUCGGUGCUUUCUCCUUGAUAUAUUUUGUUAUUAUUCCAGCUUUAGUGUAUUGGCAGGACAGAACAUUUGUAGUCAAGGCCACAGGGUAUCAAAAUGGAUCCAUCAUUUUCAAUUUCAAGCUAGCAUUGUAUUAGUCAGUGUAUUGGGAAGGCCUGGGAGGGGGUGGUUAUUAGUACCAAUACUACAGCUGAAAAAUAAAAGUUCAUGUCCUAUCUCUUUUGUCUUUGGUCUAUCAAGGCAUUCGAUUUGGUGUUUAGUGAACUUUCCAUUUCCAUGUUAUGUAAAACCACAAAGUAAAUAAGUAUGGUGUAGGUGCAAUUUCGAGUAUUGCACAUAUAUUCUGUAAGAGGAGAUGAACUUACUCGUGCAAAUGGGACAUGGCAGUCCUCUAGUACUAUCAUUGUAAUUACAAUGACGAAAACUUAAACUACCAUGGCAUUUAGGAAGUUAGUGUAGAUGACAAAUUAUAUUUAAUUGUAAUUACAAUUGUCGUGUAUAAAUGGGUACUGCUUAAUUGAAAAAUUAUAUUAUAAUUUGUCCUUGCGGCUUUAGUUUGUGUAUACCUUUGUUUGUGUUUCUUGCAUGUGUUGAAAUUUCAAUUUUUCCAUUUAUUGGACAGGAGAAACUGAUGAUUCUACUAUUAAAGCUAUACGCUCCCGCCAAAUGAAAAAUUUUCAUUUGGCAUUAAUGAUAUCCCAGGUAAGUUUAUUCAAAAUCUAACUUCACGUGUCAUUUAUGCACGCACUAUUUUGUCCAUUUGAACUAUUUUAGACUUGUUAAGUUCAGAUACAUGGUCUCAAAAUUCAGAUUUAACUUUAUAUUUUCCGAAUCUGGAAGCUUUGAAAAUUAUUAUGCCCCUUGUAACGGGGUCCUACCUGGGGCCUUUUUUCUGCCUGUUGAUUGGCAGUAAAUAGACUUAAACCUCUGGUAUGAUCAUGUACUCUUGCUAGACAAUUCGUUUUCGGGUCUAGCAGCAUUUAUAUCUUUAAAAUACUUAAUUUGCAAUAUUGUCACUUGAGCGCAUUUAGUGCUGAUGUAAGCUUCUGAAUGCACUUGACCAGGGAACCCCAAUGAUGCUGAUGGGGGAUGAAUAUGGGCAUACUCGACAUGGAAAUAACAACAGUUAUGGACAUGAUACUGCUCUUAACCAUUUCCAGUGGGGACAGGUAAAUUGUUUUGUUUUGUUUUUUUUUUUUUUUUUUUUGGAAACUAGUAAAUUGUUUUGUUUGGCUUUUGUUCAACUUUAAUCUAUGACUGGCAUGAAAUAAUCUUUUUGGCAUGGCAGUUGGAGGCACGGAACAACAAUCACUUCAGGUUUUUCAAGGAGGCAAUAAAGUUUAGACGAGCACAUCGUGUAUUUGGUCGUGAAGCUUUUCUUGAGAAGGUACUCUCCUUUUCUUUUUGUUUUAUUUCUUAUGCAUUCAUGCUUUAAUUUUAACUUAAAAGAUUACUUCCUUGGAAGACUCAUUGAACAAUUAUUUGUGUAGCAUGAUGUGACAUGGCAUGAAGACAACUGGGACAACUAUGAGAGCAAAUUCCUUGCAUUUACGUAAGGACUUAUGCCUAUCUUCUUUGUAAAGUACAGAUAGAUGGUACCGUAAGUUUGAUUUUUCUUUCAAGAUAUUUCAUGAGGGGAGUGGCAUGGUAUUUUCAUUGUGCGAUUUGGCCUUGGAAUCACGAUCUUGCUUAUUGAGUUAGAAAACAAAGUGGAUGAGUAAUUUUCUUAAGUGAUCGUGUCUUGCUUCAAGGUGUCCUUACGUUUGAUGGCUGUUGGUCCUUAAUGCGGUUUUGUACUUUUGAGCAUGUGCUGUUAAGUUAGAUACUUACCACCUAGAAAAGCAUCUGAUUUUCCCUUAUUUUUUCCUCUCUGCUAACAGCACGAUCUUCGACUUGUUUCUAUGGCUUGAUGUAUAGCAUUUUCCGUUUUCUGUUUUUUCUUAUUCAAUUUUUAUUUCUCUUUAUAGAAACUUUAACCUUCAAGGUCAAAGUUCAAGACUGUUAAAUGCAUCAGAAACAUAUAUACUGAAACUUUUGUUUUGCAGGUUUCAUGAGAGUAGUGAAGGCGACAUCUAUUUGGCAUUCAAUGCUCAUGACUGUUUUAUUACAGUUCCAAUACCGGCACCACCAGUAAAGAGGAGAUGGUUUCGUGUGGUUGGUUUUAUUCCCACUUCUGCAUAAUCCUUUGUUUUCUAGACGGUGUUCAUAAAAAAACCCUGCAUUUUUACUAUAUAUAGACCUUAGAUAAUCUUAGUCAUAGAUUGCCACUUCAAUUAGUUUUUGCUUUUGAUUAUCAUCCCUCAUGUACCAUUAUCAUCCAUUUCUAAACUCAACUGAAUAGAAGUCCUGUGGAUUGCAGGUUGACACGAAUCUGGAGUCUCCCAAUGACAUUGUGCCUGAUGGCGUCCCGGGCAUUGAAGGCACUUAUAACAUGGCCCCCUUCUCCUCAGUUCUUCUUCAAGCAAAGUGAUAGAGAUAACAUCAGAAGCUGCCUGCGGGUGAGUUUUCCAAAUAAGCUGGAUUAUCUGGAAGCUGGGUGAAGCAUUCGGGUUCUUGCGAUUUAGAACAAUAUUUUCUAUUUUCAUAUUUAAAGUCCUUGAGCCCUAGAGAUGCAUGUUCAUAUGACGGGGGCCAAUAAAGUCAGUACAGAGUAGUUCAGAUCACCAAUAAGUGGUACAACCAGCCUCAACCAUGUAUUUGCUGGGAGCUAUGAGGGCAUGUAAUUACUAGAAAUAAACGAGGUUUAUAGUGAACUUACAUAUGGAGAAAUGAAACACUUGUAACUUAAUCGAUAUCCAAAACUUUUCGUAUUGAAUUCGUGUAUGUUAUCAAAGUAUUUGAAUUGAAAGAUCGAUUUAUUGUUCGACCUUUUUGUUAAGUUGUACGGUCAUCCAAUGAUACAAUUCAGGUUCUAUUACUACUGUUAUUUCAUCUUAUGAACGACAAUGACUGAGGAAAAAGGAGAAAAUCAAGCUGCUUUGUACACAAGCUGUCCCAUGGAAUCUGGGUUUCCGUUCUCGUCGGAAGACAUCUGACGCGGCAGCUCAACAAAGAUAGUCUCUUGAGGAGAUAUGCAAGCAUAACUUUACACUAUUGACAUGUUCUUUGGUGAAGUUGAAAUGGUAAAUGUAGACGUAACAGUCACCGUACGCAUUUCGUGAACAUGCUGCAUGUGUCUUGCCACAUGAUUGGAAUAAAUGCAUGGUAAGUAGCGGACAUUUAGACAAUCCAUCUUCAUCAAGAACAGUGAAGAGAUUGUUGGUAUAAACAUUUAUGAGAUAUAAAAGUGGACAUGUUUUGGGAAUUUCCAACUCUCUGCAGUCUACAUCCACUUUUGCAAUUAUACAAGCGACCAACGAAUUUCCAACCGUGUGUGUUCGGCAUUACCAACUGUUUGCGAGACAAACUUUUAUGGAACAGACUUAUCGUCAUAGUGGCUUUUUGAAUCAUUCGCUAAUACAAAGUUAUGUUGGACUUUUUAACGGUUUGGGAUGCUGUAGUGGCGGUCAGCACGUUCUACCCAAAUCCUUAAUGUUUGCAAUCUACAUCUAGAUGGAGUCGUUCCUCUCUAACCGUGAAUUUAUGACUGAAUAACAUAUAUAGUAACUAAUUAAAGUUUUUAUUUUAUGUACAUGUCAGACUGUGAUUUGUUUGUAAGGAAAAAUGACUCCUUCUGAAGUACUAUUGGAAUCAAAUCUAUGUACCAUCGUGAAUGAAGGAAUUGUCCGUGAAUGCCCACCUACAGACAAGAACAAACGAUUGUAGUUAACCUAAGGUACCAGUGUCGUACCGACCACAGGGUCUCCUAUGGCCAAGUUAAUAUAAAAUAUUCAAACUCAAAUAGUGGCUAGAGAGCAAAGUAUGCGAUGAAAAUAUUAUUGACGAGUCCUAAGUUGGGUAUUUAUACUAGUUGGGAGAGAGUGCUUUUAGGAUAUAAAAUCCGCAUUCAACCAAGAGAAUCCUAUAGGAUAUCUAGCAUAAGAUCUUACUUCCUUUUAAGAAUGUGAUUUUGCGGCGCACAUUAAUCCCUAAAUUGUAGGAAUCUCCAAGAAUAUAGGAAACCAAUCUAAUCCCCGAACGAAUUAGGUUUCCGUGUCUUGCUACCAAUGUAUUAAAAGGCGAAGGCGUAGGCGAGGCAUCCCAUGGAUAGCCCCACCUCGCCUCAUGGUAUCUAAAAUUUAUAUAUAUAUAUAUAUAUAUAUAUAUAUAUAUAUAUAUAUAUAUGUAUAUAAUUCUUUGUAAACAGAUAUAAUUAUAACUAAAUCAAAGAUUAUAUCAUCUUCUUUAUUACUAAGUCUAAUUGUACUUAGAAACUAUGUCAAAAUGUCUUAAAAUGUUAUGUAUUAUUUAUUUUAUUGUAAGCAAUGAUAGAGAACUUCAAGAGAAAUAAGGGUGAGUGACCACAAUUAUAGAGAAUUUCAAGGAAAAUAAAAGAUGAAUGUCACAAUUACAGGGGAAUUUAAAAUGAAAUAAAGACUGAGUGGAGCAAUUAUAAGGGAUUAAAAAGGAAAUAGCGGAGCAAUUAUUAUAGGGAAGUUAAAGGAAAAUAAAGGCUGAGUGGAGUAGUUAUAGGGCAUUGGACGAGAAAUAAAACUUGGCAAAUCAAAAAUGCUAGGUGGCGGAAUCUGAAUGGGCAACAAUUUAAAAAAAAAUAGAAAAGAGUUAGAGUUAGACUUUAUCACGUCAGAUUUGGAGAUAGUCUCUUGCAUUUUAGAAACAAACAUGGAUUUUGGAGGGAAAAAACGCCCUAGGCGCACCUCAACGCUGCCCUACACCCACCCCCACAAAACAGAGGCUAAAACCCAGCCGCCUAGGCACACCCUGAGGCGAGUUUUUCAAAACACUGCUUGCUACAAAUCUACGGGUCUCGCCAACCAUUCCAGAGUCAAUAGGGUGUGGUGCCACUGUUGGUCUUUAAGCAGCUUAAUCCAAUUGGAGUCAUUGCAUCCAUGAUUGGACUUCUAAGGUACUAGUAUUCCAAUCUACCUUACUUAGCAUAGUAAAGUUCAAGGUCCACCAAUGCCACUAACUAUGCUUUUGAAAAGGCAUUCUGCUUGAGGAUGGAUAGUUACCCAAGGACCAUGACUUUCGAAGUAGAUCAGAAUAUCUUACUGUUCAGAAUUCUUAUACAAGCGUCAAUCCAAUUAUGUUACCGAUGUGAAGUAGUGGAGAUGUUUGGAUUCAAGUGUGCAAUCUUGUAGGUCAUACCAUUAAGACAGUAAUCAUGAUGGGCCAUCAUAUCAUGUGUGCAAGAAUCCUGAAAUGUUACUAUUGGAACUAAAUUCGUGCACCGAUAAGGUGGUGGAGAUGCAUAAAUUUGAAUAACCUAUAAAAGAGCAAACAACUAUGAGCAAGCCUAAGACUAAGGGUGUGCCAACCAAAGGCUUUCCGAUAGUCAAGUUAGUAAGCAAGUAUAAGAUUCAAGCAGUGGGCAAGAAAAUUAGAAUGUGAUGAUUGCGUUACCAUAGACGAGCCCUAGAAUGGUGUAUUUAUACCAGUUAGGAGAUAGACCUUUUUAGGAUAGAAUCAUGUACUAAGUCGGGAGAAUCCCACAUGAUAUCUAGGGGUAUUUAUUGCAUCCUCUUAGGAGUGUGAUUACUUGUGGUGCACACCAAUUCCUAAAUCGAAGGAACUCCAAGAAUAUAGGAAACUUGGUUGAUUCCAUGUUUUAUCAGGUUCUUGUGUCUUGCGGAACAAGUAUGGUCAAUCUCAUCAAAGUCGCUCGAACUUCGCCCACUGCUCCAAAACAUGAUGAUGGUGGCAUUACACAACCACACGAAUAGAAAAUUGGUACUCAGACAAAAGCAAGUAGCCAUUUGAAACUUGGAAACAGCAGCCAACUAGGUCCACAAACCACAUCCAUUGCCAGUCUACCAGCACACUUCGUUGCAACCCACCUUUGCCCCAACCACUAGUCAUCAGCCACCAGGCUCACAUCUGGCCACCGUAAUUUUUGAGGUAAAACUCUAAUAUUUCAAAUUUAAAUCCCUAAUUGACAAUCUAAAAAAUUGGAUUGAUUAUUGAUUAGUUGAAUUGUUGUUUGAUUAGCUAGCUGAAUUUUUGUUUAAUAUAUAUGAUUAUUGAUUGUUGGUUGUUUAAUUUGAGAGAGAUGUAUUUACUUUUAUUGAUAAUGAGUUUGUUAUGCGACAUUUUCAUGACAUGAAGCAUUGAGGCAACAAUUGUAGCUUGUUUGUAUUGAUAAAUUAUGAAUGACAUUAAUAUUGUCUACCAUCUAAAAAGAAUUUAGUUGUCUCUAUUUUUUGUAACCUCGCACUCUUUUAAAUCCCCCCCCCCCGCUCCGCCGACAAUCUUUGACUUCACCACUGGUUGAGGGAUCGAUAAGUAAGAAAGUAGAGCUAAAGAAUACAAUUAUUUGAUACAAGAUGCUAGAUGUAAGUAUCUUAAUUAUCGUUCAGUUGGCCUUAGUGAUUUUUAUAUUAGCCAUGUGUCGUGCAUAAUGAUUUUUCAUUCUCUCGUAUUCUUUGUCAUGAAGAAUCUAAAAUGAUAUCGACUGUCACUAGCAUAUUACAGUCUAAUAACAUAUCUAUACUUAUAAGUGAAAAAUCUUAAGUUUGAAUCGCAUAACUUGAGGUUUAUAACCUAAUUAUUAUGACUAACUCAUUGUUGUAUUGGAUAAAAAUGGAGUAAGAUCAACCAAAGACAAUUUUGCAAUGCCAAUGAGGGUAGUAUGUUAUUAAAGGAAAAAAAAGAUUUUAAAAUGCGAAUAAGGUAGGGUUAAUGAUUGCAAUCCAAUUGAUUCUUUAAGGGGGCGUUUGUUUGCCCUCAUUAAGUGGGAUUGGACUGGACUGGACUAGCUGUUAGUCCAAUACUGUGUUUGUUCAAUGCUGGGACUAACAUUAAUGAGACUAGCAUGGACAAAACCCUUCACUAAGAGGUCUUAGCGAGACCCCCCAAUAAUCAUGGGACUAGCUAAGACUAUCCUCUCUCGUCCUCGUCAUGCUCAACAACCACUCCCGAUAGACUCUUCGUCAUCUCCGGUCACCUAGAUCAUAAUAAAAUAUUAAUAAUUUAUAUAUUAAAUAAUAUAAUAUUAGAAUUUGUUAUUAUCUAGCUUCUUAGUCCAACACUGCACCAAACGCUUCACUAAGUUAGUCCAGCUUAGUCUAGUCUAAGCCAGUCCAACUUAGUCCUUGAAGCUAGUCUAGUCCGAGAUAGUCCGGCGCAACAAACGCCCCCUAAGAGUCAUAUGAUGAUUAAGUUUUUCAACAUAUCGUAAGUUUGCCAAGUAAUCUGACCUUAACCCUAGAUGUCGGACUUAGACCUUGGGCCCCGACCUCUAAUUUUGACCUUAAAUUCGAGGUUCUAACAUUUAAUUUCAUACGCCAAUUUAGCACGAAUUUGUUAUUAGGUAAAGUAAUUGAUUGUAUGAAGAGGUUGGGCCUAAACUUAGACCUACAGAGCAAAUUCUAUCCACCGUGGAUUGAGUGAUUAACCCUAAUUUAUUCACAUUUUAAAAUCUUUAUUUUCCUUUUGUUUACAAUGAAAAAAUACUAUACGGUAUAAAUAUAGGGUAGUACUAUUCAAAUAUUAAUUUUUACUUCUCACAUGUCGGUCUUAGUUUUCGAUCGUCAGAUCGAGUGAAUUAAAGAAGAUAAAUGAGAAAAAAAAUUAACAAAAAUGUGUAAGAAGCAAAAAUAAAUAUGUGAAUAACAGUAUCCUAAAUAUAGAACGACAUUUGUGUUUUUCAUAUACCCUCUUGAAAGUGGGAAAUAUAUACCAUAAAUAGCACGGAUAAUGCUACACAAUUACCAAAUUAAUUCAGAGGUUAAAAAAAUGAAAUUCUAUUUUUGAUAAAACAAAAAACUAGAAAAUCGAAGCAAAAUAUAAGAACACGUCGAUCAUUAUUGUACAUAAAUUUUCGGCUAAUAAAAGAAAUUCGAAAUAAGAAUUUUACCAGAAAAAAAACAAACGCGCUUGUAGGACUACCAAUAUGGACGGCUGGGAUUUCACCUGACCCAUAAUUUUUGCAAAAGUCUGGUCUUUCCAUACACGUUUACGGUGGCGCAUUCACCGUCAACCAACUUUAACGCAAACCCCACUAUAUAUACUCCUCCCUCCUGUCUUUCCCUCUCAACCCUGUCCUUGUCCAAAUCACAAACCCUCCUGCUCCCUCUCUCUCCCACUCUCUCUCCACCUGCCUGUGUUUUCUCUCUCCCAUACAGAACUCACAAUGGCAAGCUCUUCAUUCGGGUUGUUGAUGGUGACAGUGGCUCUCCUUGCCACCUCCGCCUUCGCCAACGAUAAGGCUCAAUCUCCCUCAUCGUCUCCCUCCCAAUCACCAUCCUCCACUCCUCCCCCAUCCUCCACUAAACCACCAUCAUCAACCCCAGCAGCCUCUGCCAAAACACCAUCCGCCACCCCAGCAGCGACCCCAUCCGCCACCCAAGCAGCUACCCCAUCCGCCUCCUCUAAGGCUCCCAAGUCUUCGGAUGCAUCCUCCUCUCCAUCCUCCGCCCCCACCACCUCCACCUCCUCCUCCUCCCCAUCCUCCUCCCCAUCAAGCUCUACAUCAUCCUCCUCCUCCUCCUCCUCCCCAUCCUCCUCCCCAUCCUCCUCCCCAUCCAGCUCUACAUCAUCCGACUCUCCACCCUCCCCACCCACCUCCACUCCCGCCUCCAGCCCAUCCACCUCCGACACCUCGGUUGCUCCCUCCGAGUCGACUACUUCUGCUGAGGCUCCCGCCCCAUCUGGAGCCGCCGUGAACAGAGGCUUCGCUGCCGGAUCCGUGGCCGCCGUCGUCAUUGCGGCGUCGUUCUUGGCCUAGAUGUGCUUUGCGGACGAGGCCUUUUUCCGCUGUUGGGUCACCGAGAGAGAGAUUCGGCGGGCGGAUCUUGAGUUUCGUAUAUUAGCGGGUAGAGUUUAACUACUAUUUUUGGUUUUAUAGUUGUUAUAGAGUGGGUUAUUAUUGGUGAUGGAGAUAUUAUUGGACGGUGUUGAUUUGAUCGGACGGGGGUUCUGCGGCUGAUGAUUUACUCCAUCGACCUUAAUUAUUAAUUAUAAUUAUUAUUAUUACUUGAUCAUUCCCGUUGCUAAUGAUGAUGACUAUGGAAAUUCUUUUGUUAUGAUCUAAUGAUAUAUAUCAUUAAUUAUAUCUAAUUCGUUGAGUUUAAUAUCUUUGAUUUAAGCAUGAAAAAUGCUAAGAGACUCUUAUACAGUAUUUACAUUAAUUUUCGUGCUUAUAUUAUAAAAUAAUAUGUUAAAAAUAUGAGUUAAUAAAGAAUUUAUGAACAAUCUUAUUUUUAAAAAAUACUUUCUUUCUUUUUUUCAUUUUUUUUUGUGUGUAAAAGAGAAAAUUGGACUCUUUAACUCAUUGGAUAACUCUAGAGGAUAGAAUUGAGUAAUGCUAAGAAGACAAUAUUUGAAGACAAUAUUUUAUAAACUAAAUUAUAUGGAGGGUUAUGAUUAGAUUAUUACUUAAGUAUUAUAAAUAUGCUCAUUUUCAAUCGGUGAUAUAUUAUUUAAUUUGUAAAUUUUAUUUACAAAGUUUGUCUUCCUAACAUUACUAUCUGAGAAGCACAUUAGAUUGCUUCGUUUGAAUAAUUAAACAAUGUGGGUAAAGAUUUUAAAAGCCUUCGUUUAUCAUUUACUUAUUAAUGGAAAUGAAUUUUCUUUGGAUCUUUUUCUACUUAAUCCAUCUAGUUCGAGAUCUUGACAGUUAAAAUUUGAUCCAACGAUUACAAAUAAGAAACUCUCUUUAAAAAUAAUAAUAGUAGUAACCGUUAGAUUAAAUUUUAACAACAUGAAUUCCAGGUGGAAAGAGAUCCUUGAAUUGAUUUGGUUUUUGUCGUUUGGUGAAGAAAAAGUAGAGCAACGGUCUCGAGAGCCACGUGGUUUGCGACAAACUGACAUGCAAAAAGCAACCCAUUAGCUUUGAGAAGAGGGUAGCUAGGUUAUGCUGGUUUAGUAUUAUUAAAUUUGUUAGACCUUUCGAUUUUAUAAAUUUGAACAGGCUACUAAAAAAAUGAAUAGAAUUUAUUGUUUAUGGUCGAAAUUGUUCAUAUCACAAAUCAUUCUAUAAAAACAAAUGAAUGAAAUUGGUAAAAAUAUUACGAACCGUCUAUAUAUUUGCUAUAAUAGAUUGACUAAAUGAUCUAACUUUUAGUUUAUUUUUUGCAAAGAUGAUAUUUAUAAAGUGAUUCAUAAUAUAAAUAAUUAUGACCAUAAUCACGAAACAGUUGAAUAUCAGAGUGCGGAAUGAAUAAGACUAACAAAAUAAUAAGAAUAUUAUUAAACUAACUGAGAAUGCCGAAACGGCUAUAAAACUCUAAGGGGGCGUUUGUUUGCCAUCGUUAGCUCUCACUGGACUGCACUGGACUAACAGUCAGUGUAGUCCCAUGUUUGGUGUAGCAAGGGACUAAGUUAAAUGGGAUAAAGGGGGACUCGCUUUCACUUAGUCCCUCACUAGGAGGUCUUAGUGAGACCCUCCAAAAGGCGUCGAACUAGUAAGCCCGUCAGCUUCGCUUCGUCUCCGUCUGUUGCGUCUGCAUCCUGCUUCAUCUGCUUUUAAUCCUUUCCCGCAUGAUUUUUCCUCUCUGCCUCUCCCUUGCCUUAUCUGUUUGGACUGACUGCCCCACCCACCCCUAUAAAUCACAAAAUUCGAUUACUUACCACCCACCAAUCGGUCAGCUCGAUCCACAGCCCAUAUUGAUGUCUCCCAAAUGCCUCCCACCUCCUCAAUGCCUCCCAGAUCAUCCUCCGCGACCUCCAAUUUCAUUACCUCGCUGCCAAGUGCUCUCUCUCUCACUGCUGAAAUUAGGAAAUGGAUUCCCUUUUUUGCUGAUUUGGUUCAAUGUUUUGCUUGAAAUUGGUUUUCCAUUUGUCGAUUUUUGGAUUUUGUGGUUGGGUUUUGGUUCACUUUGACUGCUGAUGCCUGGGCGAAUUGAGAGCAUACUCCAGGAAUUGUCUUUGGCAUCACUUACUAUCUCUUUCAAUUUGUGGCUCAAUACAAUUUUUGGGCUCACAUUUUAGAACCUCAGAUGGCGACGGACAAAAGGAUUACAAUACAAUUUUUUCCCUAAUUUUAUUUUUUUAUUUUUUUAUUGGGUGGCUUUGUGAGAAAUUUAUUAUUAUGUUUUAAUUCUGAGAAAUUGUUUGGUUUUGUUUGAAUUGGGCAGGUAGAGAAAAGUGGAUUUAGUUAAUUUCAAUAAUAUCUUUAAUAAAAAAGCAAUUAAAAUAUAACAGUAAUGUAGUUCUAGUCUGAGCAAACACCAAACUGGUGACAAUAUUGUUUUCAUUAUCCUGCUUCUUAGUUCGACACUACACCAAACGCUUCACUAAGCUAGUCCAGCUUAGUCUAGUCUAAGCCAAUCCAGCUUAGUCCCUGAAGCUAGUCCAGUCCGAGACAGUCCGGUGCAACAAACGCACCCUAAGAGACUACAUUGUGAAUGACUUGAUAUUCUACGAGCUACAAAGCAUCAUAUAUAUAGAGAACUAACAUAACCCUAAUAAGCAAGAAAGCAAAACUCUAAUACUAAUGGGCUAAGCCCAAAUUCAAACAAUAAAAUAAUCCUAAAUUCCAACACCCCUCGUCAAACUCAUGACGGUACACUUCAUGAGUUUGCCAACAAGCAGAUGUGGAUGCAAGCUUCGUUAGGUGAACAAAAUAAGGCAAGCUCUGUUAGACGAACACGACAAGGCAAGCAAACGAGCAAUCAAAUGAGCAAACGAACAAUCCAGGCUUCAAUCAACAAGGCCCAACCCAAGGCCUCCAAACAAAUCAUAAUAGCCCAACAAAUUGUGAGCUCCAUGCUUUUUUUUCUUUAUUUCCUUUUUUCCUGUUUUCUUUUUCUAUUUUUCGGCUUCUGUUUCCUUUUUCCCUUCUUCUAUUUGGGCAGUGUUGUCCAGAGAAAACAAAUCCGAGUGCAGGUAUGGAAUCUCAAUUUUGGGAUUCUUGAUGCGAUGGGAUAGCAGCGACGGUGAAGUGUAGAUCAAACAGGCAGCGAGGAUGCAGGUACGAUGCGAAGGUAGCGCAGUCAGUGAUGGGUAGAUGAUUUCACGGGUCUGGUGCGGAGGUGCAGGUGGUGCGGGUCAGAUCAAAGGAUGUGGAUGCAGUGCAGGAAACGGUGUGGUGAUACGGCUUGUGUUGGAUUGCAGGUCGGGUUCUACUGUAGAAGAAGACAAUGACGUGAUGCAGCAAACAGAUUCAGGCGGCGAAAUUUCAGGCAAUGGCAGUCGCAUGAUUGGAUGGCUUAGCGGCAGGGUGGAUUCGGACAGCAGAUGUGCUAGGUUUCUGGUUGCAGCGGCAGUAUGCAGAUGGGGUUUGCCGAUUUGGGUGAGAGUCAUCCAGGCAGCCCUGGAUGCGGUGAUGCAGCGGUGGGGCUGAAGGCUUGGCGCGACUCCGGCUCCAAACUUCAACAGAUUUUUUAUUUUUUUUUAAAACGACAAACAAAGGUUAACCCAAACCAAAAAACAAAAAGUUUCACAGAAUGAAACUGGACAAAACAAACAACGGAAUAGACAAAUUGAUACGAACAAAACAGAAGCAGAUUAAAUCUCGAAGUAUCAAACCUGCUCUGAUACCAAGUUGAAUAUCAAAGUGCGGAACGAACAAGACUAACAAAAUAAUAAGAAUAUUAUUAAACUAACUGAGAAUGCCGAAACGGCUACAAAACCCUAAGAGACUACAUUGUGAAUGACUUCAUAUAUAUAUAAUAUAUAGAGAAUUAACCUAACUCUAAUAAGUAAGAGAACAAAACCCUAAUACUAAUGGGCUAAGCCCAAAUUCAAAUAAUAAAAUAAUCUUAAAUUCCAACAUAAACUCUGUAAUGUGAUUUGAUGACAGUUCAUGUUGCUUAAAAAUGUGCAAUUAUAUUCCUCCAGUUUAGGAGAAAAACCUUAGUAGUGUACGCUCCUCUCACAAUGUUGCGUUGGUCUUACUCGGUAUGAAAGUUUAACAAGUGCAUGAAAAUUGUAUUUUGAUAUCACUUUACAUUAUGUUAUAUUUUAUGGGUGAAAAAUGACAAUGAGUGAGAUAACAAGACAUGUGGAACACAUCCAAAACUGUUAAUAUUGUGUUUGGGCCCAAAAUAACAGUUUGGGCCGAGUGUAGGGUCAUUCUCGGCCCGGGAGGCCUUGCGACAAGAAUACCACGGAUCGUUCAGUACGUGGGCCUCCAAACCUAGGUCGGCUAGGUCAUAACGCAAGAGGUCGAAUCCUAGUGCAAUAAGGAGUCUCGGCAGGACCCGGAAGCGAAUCCGGCUCAGGUAAAGGACUAGGUUCACAGUCCUAGUGAAGGUAGGACUGGUCGAGUUGAUGCUGAUCAGGGAAAGAAAACCUAGUCCGAGUAGGUUUUUAACUCGACCUUGGGGGGAGCCAUCGCUAUAAAUAGAAGAGGUUGCACAUCAUUCAAGCCCCUGCAAAUCAAUACAAAAUUGCCCUGCGCAAACUCUCACAACUUGUGAUUUUUCUUUUUCCUUUUUCGCUAACACAUCUUCCGUUGGCAUCAACAACACUGUGAAAGCAACCGGUGAUAUCUUAAGUCGGCAUAGAUAGCUCUGCCACCAUAGAAUCGAUCGGUCUUGCAGUAUCUUCCGUUGGCAUCAACAGCACUGCGGCGAGAACGGUUGAUUACCUAUCCAAGUCUCGGUCGAGAAGGGUUUCUGAACCCUUAUUGGUCGAGGUCAUCUCAUCAGCCUUCUCGGCGAAGUGAGGUGUUACAGUUAUUACAUUCGGCACAUUGAAAGCCGAAUUUGAUAUUGAACUUCGUAAGAAUAGUAACCUUGUCUUCAGGUUUGAGAGCCCAAGAGGCCGAGAUGUGUUCCUUUCUCGGCCGCAAUCGCAAGACGCAGAAGUCAGUAGCGCGACUCAACGCAACAUCAACAAAUUUACUCCUCGGCCGAGCUCGGCCGACGAGUUGGCACGCCCCGCAUUCACCGAAGGACGUAGUUAGCUCAUUAAUUACUCGGCCUGCGCGCCACGUAGGCUUUGUAGUUUUUAGGGUCAAUAUAUUGCUAUUUUACUAUAUAAACGUCAUAAUCGAAAUUAUUAUCUCGUUAUUAUAAUUUAAAUAUCACCUCGUGAACUUAGUUAGUGUUUUAGUUUGGAGGUAUUACUCUACAUUUGUAAGUAAGAAGUUUUAAAUUCAAAUUUUAUGAAUGUUUAUGCUAAUUUAUUCUCUCCCAUAAAAAUAUGUCAUUGUUUGAAACAAAAAAAACCCAUCUCUGGAGAAUUCAUUCAAUUUGAUGAGGAUUGUUUAAUCAUCCAUCUAAAUUAAUAAAUUAAUUAACAAUUCAAUUGUAAGGAUGCUACUUAUUAUUACAAUUGUACUGUCAAUUUGUUCGACACACACUGAUGACUAAAUUGUUUUUGAAUUAAAUAAUUAUUUUCAAAUGUCAUAAAUUUAAGUGAUGAUAAAAAAAAUGAUUGAUUUUGACUAUAACGUUUGUAUGAUAAAACGAUGUCACAUUAGGCCGGGAAGAAAGAUUUUCGUUCGUAGCGGAGGAGGAAAGUAUUAUUCAUAUUGAAAUGAGCUUGUGGAAUGAGCCCAAGCUUAUGGUUGGGAAAGCAAUGAGCCACAAAUGGUUCCAAUUUGCAGCCUUAAGAUGUAUUUAAUGAACUUGUUUUAAUAUCAAGUGGUGAACAGACAACUGCUUAUCAAUAGGAAGACGUUCUUCUUUACAGAUAAAUUACAAUUUGAAAUAUGCACAUAAAUAUUUAUUUGGUAAUUUUAAUUAGUUAAGUGAUGAGAUUUCUGAGAUUGUGGUUUGCAUGUUACAAUUCUAAUAGAAAAUGUAGGAUAUUAACACCUUAUAUAACUUAUCCCUUCUAAUUUUCCAAAAAUAUAAAAUUCCUUUGUACAUACUUUCAUUUCUUACUUUGACAUAACUUGAAUUUAUUAGUUUACUUUCAUUUCAUAAUUUGGUGUACUAGUUUGUGCAUCCAAUGGGUUUCAGUUCAGCUUGUGUGUCACAAUUGGGCUCCGACCAAUUCGGCCUUGUUUCCAAUGGGUCAAUGGCCCAGCUCGUUGCCUCUGUCAUUUUUAUUUCAUUUUCUCUUUACACCCAUCACAUUUCAAAGAAUUCAAAAGUUUUCAAUUUGAACUUUUUAUUCACUCACGUAAUUAUUAAUAAUUUUCUUUUGGUAAAUGAUGUUUGUUGAAUUACUCCAAGGUUAUUUUUCUUUUUUAAAUUUUCAUAUUUUUAAUAUUUUUAAUAUCAAAUUUCGAUGAACUACCAAAAUAAAAUCAGGAAUGAGAUUCAUUAUCGCUUACGUUUGGAAUGUUUACUUGCAUUAUAUUACAUUAAAAGGGUUGUUGAGUGAGAUGGGUUAGGGAAUCAUGGCCCUUCAAAAGCGAAGUGCAUAAUAUAUAUGAACCCUCAAUUAUGCUACAUAAAUGUAUCAUGGACCCUAAAAAAUUAUAAAAUCGGACUAAAUUAUAACAUAAGAAACUCAGAGUACUUAAAAUUAAACAAGAAGAAAUAAAAUGGCACUGCCUCUAUCCUGGCACUUAGAGUGAUAUCAUCUCACCAACCGGCCAAACUUAAGAAAGAAGGAACAUACAAAAACCAACCAAACUAAUGACACUCCACAAAGCCACAACAAGAGAGCUAGAGUGGCUAAUCCCAACACCAGUUGUUGAGGAUGUGGUACUUGCAGGGGUUGUAACUGUAGAGUUACCGCCGGAACCACCGGAUGCUGAAUUACUGGAUGGUGCUGCGGUUGAUCCUGACCCUACAGACACAGAAAGCUUCAUCCCCAUACCGCAAUGCCCAAUCGUAGCGCAAAUGUAGUUAUGAGUCCCGGCAGUCUUGAGGAGGAUGGUGGUGGCUCCGCUGCUAUCACUUGUAAUUGAAUUUCCCACAGUGCAUGUUUUGUAGUCACUAGCAGUCACUUCAUCCACCGUGUGUCCACUUCCAUAGUUGAAAACUACCAUGUAACAAAAAUUUAGGAAAAAUAUACACAAUUAGCUAAAACAUAACCAAAGUGGGGGUGCUUUUGUUCACUAGAUAUCUGAUACGUUAUUAGACCAUAAUUUUCACGCCUACGUAAUUCUCAAACCAUACUUUAAAACAAGAAUUUUCCUGAUCAACUAUUUAGAUUGAAAUCUUGUACGUAAUUCUCAAACUGUACUCAUUAAACAAGAGCUCCUCUAAUAAAUGGUCUAGAUGGAUAGUCUAUAUAUAACUUUCAAAUGGCACAUCAAAACAAGAAUUUAUCUUAUAGUCUGAUAGCAUAAACAUUUAUUUUGAAGCAUGUUCAUGAUAGUAUAAUUAAAGGGAUGUGAUAUCCACACACUCUAUUUUACUUCUUACACACCUUUUGAAUUUUUAGUCAUUGGAUUGAAUGAAUUGAAGAAGAUCAAUGGACAGAAAUUAUCAAGGAGUAUGUGAAAAGUAAAAUAGAGUGUGUGGAUAACACACCCCUAAUUAAAAGGGAAUAAGGAUUUUUACCUAGGCUGUCACCAACUUUAAAGGUCUUGCCACUAGUCCAAGUGGUAUAAUCCACUCCACUAGCCCACCCAGAGGAGUCUCCAACGGUGUAGACAGUGGCUACGCAGCUUGGCACCAUGACCAUGGCAACAACUAGGGCUAAACCCCCAAUUCUGGCCAUUUUUAAUGAGCUAGCCCAGCUACGACGAGAGAGAGAGGGAGAGAGAGAGAGGCCCUUUGUGAUGAUAAUUCUAUAGAGUGGAACUCACUUAUAUAAUAGCAUGAAGGGGGCUGGAGUAAGUAGGGUUUGGUCGACUUAAUUGAAAUGCAGCAUGUUCUGUCUAGGAACUCAUUGCAGGAUGACUUAAGUUAGACGUCAUACCUAAUGCUUUUCUUUUUAUUUCUUUUUGCAUUGUUAUUCUCCUAACUUUCAGAAGAAGAAAAAAAGAAAUAAAUGUGAUGAGAAAUAAGGCUAUCAUCAUCAAGGUUUGUUAUGAUAAAUAAUGUUCUAACUUCUAUCUUUUUGUUUUUUUUUUCAAACCCAAUUCUAAGCACCAAAGUGGACUAAUUAAAUUAAAAGAAAUGUGAUCGAAGGGGUGGUAUACUUUUAAUUUAUUAUAUGGCUUUGUUGGUAGACCUUUCAUCAUCUCUAUGAUGAUGGAUUGCGAAUUAAGAAAGGGUUAACACGUUAAGGUCAUAAGAGUUAUGAUUAAUGCCAAAUAGAAUCCAAUCUCCAAAGAUAAGCAUAUUUAGACACAAAAUAUUUGAAAGAUAAUCCACAUUUGAAAUUUUGUAGUCUUAUUGGAGAAAAAAAAAUGGGAGACUUUGGAUGCGGUCUCUAGUUAUGAAUAUUCUUUGACUGAAACCUUGUUGGUUUUCAAUUUUUGAUCGAAGUCCCUAAAAUUAAUGUGAUAAUUUAUUUCUGUGUACCCAUAUAAAUAAAUAAAUAAAAGAUAUUAGACUUAAUAACAUUAGUAAAUUUCUUUGAUUAAACUUGACAUAGAUACAUUCUCAAAUCAAAGAAAAAAGAAUGCACCCAUAUAAGUUUAAAAAUGGAUUAGAAAAAAAUUGAAUAGAUUUUAUACAGAAAAAAUGGUACGUUUUACAUAUAACAAAUUGAUAUAUUUAAUAAAUGAGUACAUUUUAAGAUUAAAAAUUUGAAAAAAAUUACAUGAAUGGGUACAUAUGACACACCCCGACCUAAUAUCGAGGCAUGUUGGCCGUCACGUGAGAGUGACGUAGCCAUGUGCACAGUGUGGAAACAAUAUUAAUAUAAGGAAUGCGAAUAAAUAAAAACCAACUGACUAAAACACUAGAGGAGAUAAAGUGAAAGUGCGAUAUUAAAGGUGACUACACACAACCAGAGCGUAGGUAGCCUAAGUGACGAAUACUAAUUACACAAUACCAAAGAUGGUCCUACAUUUGUGAUGAUCUGUCAGAACCACCGUCAAUUCCUCGUGAGCUACCAACGAGCACUCCAACCGGGGCGCAAAACAGAAAGUGUGAGUGGGCAAAAACAAAGCUUUUUCAAAACCACUCACUAUCAAAGUAGUAACCCCUGGGCCACUUGCUUAAAAAAAUUAUUUUAUAUAAAAUAAUAGAUAUAUAAUUAUAUAAUUAUAUCUAUAAACUAAGAAAAUCCGUUUUUUUUUAUCCAAUUGUUCAUUCCCGGGAAGAGGAAGAAACAUAUAGAGCAAUGGCCUCCUCUUUCCUUCCUUCCGCUCUUCCCGAAGUGGGCGAAUUGCAUGUAGAGAUCCGCAGGGGCUUAUAGUUUAAUUGGUUGAAACGUACCGCUCAUAACAGUUAUAUUGUAGGUUCGAGCCCUACUAAGCCUACCACCCCCUUCUCUGCACCCGAUACAAGGCAGUCGAAGUCCUUCCCAGAAAAUAACAUAUAUGAUUAUAUCCCAAAAUCAUAUUCAAAAAUAGCAAAUACGAUUACAGUAAUUAAGAAAGCCGUGAUAUUUAAUGACCCCAAAGGGUAAGGCCUCAAAUGAUCAGUAUUUUCGCCUGGAACUUGUCUCUGCAGUGUUGGAAAUGUGAAAAAAUCAUGUGAUGAUACUUACGGACAUUUCACAUGUUAAACUAAUCUAGUUUAACAUAUAAAGGGCAAAGAUUAUUGUUUGAGCCGUCUCAUAUAAAUGUUAUAUGCUUAAACGAUAAAGUCCAAGGAAUAUGUGAUUGGGAGAAUGUAAUCUAAUGAAGUUAGAUUCAUGAGACCAUUCUUUCGUAGACACAUCCUAAACGUUCCUGAUCAUAGGAUUGCCAAUUGGGCAUUGACAGUCCGUUAAGAUCAGUACGUACUAUGUCUUCUCUCAGGGAGAGUGACUAGUCUCGAGUCAUUGGUGUGUGUGACAUCAAGACAAGUACGUAGGUGCUCAAUAGAGAAUGAGUUCACUGAACGCGAUCAACGAAGAGUUCUCAUAUUCCAUGUCACAUGAGAACUCAUGGUUGGGAUAAUGCAAAGUAGUCCUUUGACCUGAGGCAUCAUAGUUGUCUUGUGGUUAAGUCCUUGAUCUUUGAUUAUGUCAAAGUCACCCACCAGGAGGGUGUCCACGGCAUCGUUGGGGUUAAGCCACUUAGCUAUGGAGACAAGUGAAUGCGCAACAAGGGAUCUCUAACCUUCAAACCGUUUGAGGGAGAAUACUCUAUGAUAUGAUUUGAAUCUCUGGCCAGAGUAUGAAUGAGAUUUAGGGAAUGCGUUCCAAAUCACAUUCAAGGUAAUCAUAUAAGCACAAGACAUCACAUUGGAUAGUAGACAUGAGAAAAAACUAUCAAACCAAACAAUGUGGUCAAGAGUAUUAGAUUAGAGAAAGACCGUAUUGCAUUUGUAAUCCCGAACUGAAUAGGUUCUCUAACCUCUUCUGAUUAGCUUGGGUAACCAUGAUAUGCUGCUAGGUGUCACUCAUGGUUUGUGGAAGCCCUAAACGUGUAUAAUCACUAAAGGGAGAAUUGAAAAAAUAGUUUCAAUUCACAAUCGAUGUAAAAUGGUUUUAAUCGCCCACUGCCUCGCUAAAAGGAACCUAAUGGAUCGCACACCGUGAAAGGUGGAGAUUGGAAGAUUAAACGGAAAUGAGUAAGAAUGAUUAAAUGGUUUAAUCAUUUAUUUAUGGCAAGGAUUAAUUAAUAUGUUAAUUAAUCAAACGAAUAAGUUCGUUAAAGACUUCGGGAUAGUUUUGGACCUUAAGGCCCAAUGGGCUUCGAACGUCAAGCCCAUUAACUUAAGUUGUAUGACAAUUUAAUGAAUAAAGAUUCAUUAAAGCCCAAAAGCCCAAAAUCCCUAAAUGGCCGGCCAUGAUUUGAAUGAAUUAGGGUUUUUGGUUGUUUAGGUCACUUAAAGAAGUGACUAUAUAAAUGACUUUAUAGCCAAAUAUUCAUUAAGUGAAAUAAGGGUUUAUUUUUGGGGAAAAUUGGUGAGAAUUGUCUCUCCAUUUUCUCUCUAAAGAGGCCAACACCUUGGAGGGUACAUCUAGCAAUCCUACUACUCCAAGGUCACUCAUUUCUUCUACAAUCUAAACCUUGGUGAAGAGACUUAGAGGUUCUCAAUUUUGGGAACUUGGAGAACCUAUUCUUCCAUCCAAAUCCAUGGAUCUAAGAAGCAAGGAAUGAAGGCCCUAUCUCUUUGGGUGAUUAGCCUUUGCUUAUGCAAAGAGGAAUCUACAAAGGUAUUAAUUUCAACUCACUUUGUUUUGAGUUGAUUAUUGGUUCACCAAUCUACUAGGCUUUGAAUUUCAUGGUAAUGUUUUGUUUUUUGAGUGCAUGCAAGCAUGAUUCCGCCUUUAAUUGUUAAUUGCAUGCUAUAUGAUGUUGCUCAAAUGAACAUGUUUUCACAAAAUAAUUCCUUCAAGUGGUAUCAGAGCCUAGGUCUAGUAGUUGGUGAAUCCUUUUGGGUUUUGUAGUUCAUAAGUUUGUGAUUUAAAAGUUGUAAUUGUUACAAGCUUUAUUCUUGCUUCUUUGAAUGUAAAUUUUGUUGGAAAAUUUGCCAUCUCAAAUGUUGUAGAUGUAGUUCAUAUGAGCAUGAAUAUUGGAGCUAAAAUUUGGUGCCAUGACUUUUUGGGAAAAUUCGGCCAAAUCCAAAGGGUGAAUUUUUUGGGUUCUUGUUUGACUUGUUAAAAGUGUUUUAAGUGACUUUUGGAACCCCUAAGUACCCUAGUUUGGUUAGAUGUUAUUUCCCUUAAGUUUGAAUGGUUUUGGAAUGUUUUUGGGUGAAAAAAGUUCAUGGAAAAAUUUGGGUUUUUCAUGGAUGUUCUUCAUUGUUCUUGAUGUUCUUGCCAAGAACAAAAAGGUUUGGUGUUUUGAUUCAAAGUUUUGAUUUAUUUCAUAAAGUUUAUGUGAUAUGUUUUUCAAAUGAUUUUAUGUAUUUAAAGUGUUAGAUAUUUGUAUAAAUGAUGAUUGAAAUAAUUGUUGAUUGAAUUAUUUCAAAACUUAUCUUAACAUACACUUGCAUGUUUUUGACAAAACUCACAAAUCAACACACACACCAACUCUUAUCCCUCCCAAAACCGGCCACUCCCUCAAAGGGAGUACUUUUUGGGGCUUUUAUGCAAUUACAUAAAGUUUUGAUACUUUUGUGUAUUUGCACUUUGGCCCAAAAGUUUACGUUUUUACGUUUAGGUCCAAAAAACGCUAAAGGACAAAUUGUUUUGCUCCUUUAAUGAAGUUUUUGCAUUUAUUAAAAUUUUGGGUUCUAGUUGUAUUUACAUGAAGUAGUGGACUUUUGUGUUUUUACAAAGUGACCCCAAAAGUUUUUGUUUUGCAAUAUGGCCCAAAAGUUGAGGUUAAUUGCAUGAUGGCCCAAAUUAGGAUGAGAACAAAAUUGUUUUGUCUCUUUAAAUGAGAAUUGGAUUUUCAUUUUGUUUAGCUCCAUUUAAAUCAAUUUUAUGGAUACAAAAACCAAAUGAAAAUGUUGCAUUCAAUUUAAUUAGUUAAAGUGUUAAUUAAUUAAAGGGUGAUUAUGAACCUAAGCCUAAUAUAAUUGAGCUAUGUGAAAGGCCGUUUCAAAUUUGUUUGAACCAUGGGAAUGUGUAGAUUAGAUUUUGGUUGUAAUUUGAUUUGAUCAAAUGUUGUAAAAGGGCAUAAGCUCUUCUUUACUUUAAAGUAAUUUGUUUUAUGCAAAUGUUGUAAUGAGCAUAAGCUCACCUUUACUUUGAAGUACUUCUUUCUUGCUUUAUAUUGAUAUGCAUGAAAAUGAAGUAGUUGGGUCCAACGCCCCUAAGACAACACGCCUUAAUGUGAUUAAACGCGUAACUAAAAUCAAUCACCAUCCCUAGACCGAGAUUCAACACAAGGCUCGUGUUGAAUCUAAACAAAGGUUCAUAGUCAUCCUAAGGCCCUAAGGCAACUAUAUAGUCCAUCAAAUGAAUGCAAAGUUUAUGUUAGUAGUAUCAUAUACUCUUGCUUUAAAAACCGUUUUAAAAGCAUAGUGGGAGUAUUAUAUACAACUAAAACAAUCAUAUGGACCAAUAGUUGUAAUAGGACCAAAAUUGUUUUAAUAGAGAUUAAAAUGUAUGUUUAUAUGUGAUGAGACCUAAAACCCUCAACCAAACCAAUUAUAAGUUGAUAAGCGUGAGAGUGCUUUAGAACAUCUCUUCGUGGCCUUCCACCGUGGUGGGCUCCAAUCGUUUAUGACUUGUACACCGGCUUCACCCUAUCAUGGGGGAGUACAAAGUGCAUGCUUAUACUCAGGAGGAAUCCAUAUACAUAUGAUGAGGUGAGUGUAGUAGGCAACGAGGAUAGCCAAUAUCGUAUCAUUCGUGAGGCUAUUCUUGAACCCCUUCACAAACUAAGCAUGGUGGGAAUGACUUAACUAAGUGCAAUGGAACCAAUAUCAUAUCAUUGUGAGGUUACAUUCUCUAGAGGCCAAAUAAGAUGGGUACUUGCAUUAGUUGCAAAUGAGUAAGCGUACUCUCUCAUUAUUAUUGUUGCUAGCCAAUACAUCGUAUCAUUCGUGAGGUGGGCUUGGUAAUAGUGAGCCUCCCAUAACCUACUAAGAGUUUCAUCCAAAACUCUCGAAUUCCAAUGAGGGAUAUGGAAUUUGCCAAAAAUAGUGGGUGGUGCUAUUUGAUUUAAAGACCCGAAUCAAAUGGCUUAAAAUCAAUCAAUUUAUAUUCGUUAUGUAUUUGUUUACCAAUAUAUUUGCAAACGCUAUCCAACACUUGACAAAUAAAAACCGAAUGUUUAGUUUCCGGACUUGGUACUACAAAACCAUAGAUUGUCUUUAAUGGCUUGUAAAUGUACCUAAGUAGUCUCAUCCUCACAAUCUUCCUAUUGAUAAUGUAUCAUUAGAAGAAUAUGUUAGAAAAGGUCUAUCAUAAAGAGGACAACACUUUUAAUGUCAUAAUUCUUCAAUUACAAAUUGUUGUAUGAAGAAAUAGGAGUUGCUUUGAACAACCCUUAGUCAAUGCAAACACUUAGUGCUUGUUUCUUUGUUAAAUGAACAAAGAACUUGAGAAGAAAGCACAAAGGCAUGGACACUUUAUGUGCCAUGAUUCUUCACUUACAAAUUGUUGUAUGAAGAAAUGAGAGUUGCCUUGUACAACUCUUGAAAGUUUGUAAUUAUGUUUAGAACAUAAUGGUUGGUUGACAAAAAUAGUCCAUUAACAUGGACUUAUGAUGAUUUUGAAUCAUUGAGUGUUGAAGUGAUAAACCACUUAACGAGACGGAAACUAGGCAAGGACUUCACCUUUGUGUCCCUAUCCUAAUGGUUCACUAAGUUUAUUGUAAACUAUGUAGUGAACAAUAACCACAUGCUCUCCAAAAUUGUUUGAUGUGUAUAACACAAUUGAAAAAGGUUUCAAGAGAGAUAGUGGGAGUUUAGGGACCAUGACUAAUUGUAGUCAAAGGUGAAAGUCAAAUGAAAGAAGAUAAAUAACUCCAAGGGAACAAACUUUCUUUAUGAAAGGAUGGACAUUGGAAGGGGUAUUUGCAAGAAAUGUCUUGCAAGUGUCAAGAACACACCUUUCGAAGGUGUUGUAAAUUGUUCUUGAAUAGUUCAAAACAGUUGGUUCUUCUACUUGAAUGCUUGAUUCCGUAUUAGUAACUAUGUUUUACAAUCGUUGUAAAAGUGUGACUAAUAAGAAGUAGAAGAUUAAUGAGAGAAGAGAAAGGUACUUCACAUUCGGAACGUGAAUCAAAUAUAGAUCUCUGCGAAAGCAGAUGGUACUUACUUCCUCAUAUGAACUACCAAAGAAAUUGAAAAAACAUAAGAUUGUCUUUACAUUCCAAUUUUAAGGAACUAAAUUCCGUCACUGUGUGAAAUGGAUAAAUGUUUUGUUUGACAAAACAUUGUUCUUUAUUAAUCAAUGAUUGGAUUAUGGUAAUCUAAUUAAUUAUCUCUAUAGUAGAGAUAAUAUGGUGGUGUUAACUGUUUAGAAUAUAAUGAUGCUUAAAACCCAAAAGGUUGCAAGGUAGUGACUAAUCCCAACUAAAGUUGUGAUACCUCUAAAACAUAAAUUACGAGUUGGUCAUAGAUGGAUGCUUUGGAUCGUUAGAUCCGGAUCCAAUACCUUCUUGUUAAAAUUGUAUAGAGGCGAAAUGUUUGAAUCUUUAUUCUUUUGGAAAGAAGAAAGAAUCACAAAGUUGUUGUUGAGGUUAAUUCACUUAGAUGUUAGUGGCACUUGUCCACAAACAUAAUACUACUCAUGUUGUAUGACAUUCACCGAAGAUCACUCUCGGUUGGACUAUAGUUUAUUUUGAAUAAACACAAGUCCGAAUACUUUGCAAAAUGUUUUCAAAGAAUUCAAGAAAUGUAAGUUGAUGAGUAAGACAUCUAAAGUAUUUACCUCCUUAGAUUUGAUCCAAGGAAAGGUAACACUUUAGAUGAGUUUCCUUGAAAGAUAUCAAGGAAAAUAGCAUCAUAAGAUAAUGUAUUUUCUCCAUUAGGAGAAGAACGAACUUGAAUAAGAUUUAGUUCGUUAGAUGUUAUCUAUUACCCAUAUAUAGGAUAUAUACUUCUAAAAACAAUAUGAUUGUCAAUUAGAAGAUCUUCCAAUAUUUUCAUGACUCCAUAAGAUGUAGUUGGAAAGAAAGACAAAUCUUAAGCAUGUUAAAGAUUUGGGGUUGUGUGCUAAUAAGCAAUAUUUGUUUGAUAACAAUCUUGUAGGAUAUAUCCUUAAAAUUAACUUUUGGAUAUCGCUUCUAUAAACCAACUAACAAAUGUUGUUUUGUUGGGUAGUUCAUUGUAAUCCUACAAUGUGAUUUGCCUAAAAGCAAAUGAACGAGAGAUAGAACUCAAAGAAUGGGUUCUUUGAGAGACAAGAAAGUAAUCAACAAAUAUAACAACCUAGUUCCUAUACCACAAGCUCCAAGGUAGUCGAUAAGGAUUUAUAAACCGUCUCAGUUGAAUGGUUUGAACUUUAUGACUAUGUCAUAGAGUUGCACCUCUUAAUUCGAAAGAAAUAAGAAUGAAAAUCCUUAUGACUACAUUGAGUGCAUAUACGAUAUAUACUCAAGGAAAUGGUAAAGUACCAUUUGACUCGAAAUAAUGAAACCUUCAUAAGCUAAUUGGUAGCUUAAGGUGACUACAAUCAAAGAGAAUGGUUGACUUUGAAGGAAACCAUUUUUGACGUAGUCUUAGUUUCAAUUAAUUCGAAGAUUGCUAGCUACAACUAAAUGGUGAUUCAAUGUUUGGACAUAAUAUGGGUUUCCGAAACCAUUAUUAAGAUAGUCUUGAUAAUAUAUGUGUCUAAAACUAUAAAAUCACAAGACAUGUAAGUUGUAGAGAUCCAUCCAUCAUCAUGGAUCUUAGCAAGCUAGUGGGAGCUAUUUGCAUUUUAUGAGAAAAAGGAUCAAAUCGUUUGAUUUCUCAUAAAGAUGUAAAUGAAUCUUUUGUUUACUAGUUUUACAAAAGAUUAGUGGGAGUUAAUCAUGUUCCUAAAAUUUAAAUAUAUGAUGAUAUAUUAAUUUUGGAAAUGAAAAGAAUACUUCUUCGUUAAAGUUAUGACUUUAAUACAUUAUAUGAAGAUAGAAUGUAUAUGGGAGAUAUAGUCUAUAUACAUGGGAUGGAAAUCUAUAAUGAUAUAUUUCAUGAUAUAAUUGGAUUAUAUCAAUCCCUAAUAAUAGACAAUGGAUGCUAGGAAGUUUCUCUCAUAUGAUGAUAAACUUCAAUAAGAAGGACGAUUCUAGUGAGACUAGCAAGUUGCCCUUCUCAAAGGGAACGUACCCUUUGACUCCCAAAGAAAUAAUGCGUAAAUAGAAUCCUUUAUGCAUACGCAGAAAGGUGAUUUAUGUAUUUCAUAUUGUAUGAAAAACAUUGAUAUGAGUUGUACCUAGAACGGUACAAGACGAUAUCAGUGCAAGCCCAGGAUCAGAACCAUGGCAACUGUCAAGUGAGUCCUUAAGUAUUUAAGAAAUACUAAAGGAUAAAUUCCUCAAAGAAUGAGGAAGAAUUAGAGUAACGUAAUGGAAGCGUAAAUGUAUUAGAUUAUGAAUCUAAUCCAUCAUUGGAUGUUUCUUCAUUAUGAAUGAAGAGAUAAACGAAUAUCUCUUUAUUAUGACUAAAGAGAUAUUUGGAUGGAAACAUUAAAGUAAUGACUUUAGUGUGUUCCAUUAUGAAUGCAAGAUAUAUUGCCAUAUAGAAGUUUACAACAAUGUUGUUUGGAUGGGAAAGUUCAUUUAUGAACUCUCUAUUCGGUUCCAACCAGAAAGUGUAUGACACUAAUGGGGCGAUAGCUCAAGCCUGGGAAUCAAGGUCUCAUCAAGAUCCGAACUCAAAUGAGAGACUGAACCACAUGAUUGAGAAUCAUGUAUAAUGGUGACGUCGUUAUUCUCAAGGUUGCUUCUAUGGAUAACACAUAUAGAUAUCCACUUGUCUAGGCCUACUAUUCAGCCAUUUAUGAAAUGACUACAGAAGAGGUAUCAUCAAGAUGACCAAGCUGAUUGGCUCUAGUGCAAGUGGGAGAUUGUUGGAAAUGUGCCCUAAAGCCAAUCAUAUGAUGAUACUUUACGGACAUUUCACAUGUUAAACUAAUCUAGUUUAACAUAUAAAGGGCAAAGAUUAUUGUUUGAGCCGUCUCAUAUAAAUGUUAUAUGCUUAAACGAUAAAGUCCAAGGAAUAUGUGAUUGGGAGAAUGUAAUCUAAUGAAGUUAGAUUCAUGAGACCAUUCUUUCGUAGACACAUCCUAAACGUUCCUGAUCAUAGGAUUGCCAAUUGGGCAUUGACAGUCCGUUAAGAUCAGUACGUACUAUGUCUUCUUUCAGGGAGAGUGACUAGUCUCGAGUCAUUAGUGUGUGUGACAUCAAGACAAGUACGUAGGUGCUCAAUCGAGAAUGAGUUCACUGAACGCGAUCAACGAAGAGUUCUCAUAUUCAUGUCACAUGAGAACUCAUGGUUGGGAUAAUGCAAAGUAGUCCUUUGACCUGAGGCAUCAUAGUUGUCUUGUGGUUAAGUCCUUGAUCUUUGAUUAUGUCAAAGUCAUCCCACCAGGAGGGUGUCCACGGCAUCGUUGGGGUUAAGCCACUUAGCUAUGGAGACAAGUGAAUGCGCAACAAGGGAUCUCUAACCUUCAAACCGUUUGAGGGAGAAUACUCUAUGAUAUGAUUUGAAUCUCUGGCCAGAGUAUGAAUGAGAUUUGGGAAUGCGUUCCAAAUCACAUUCAAGGUAAUCAUAUAAGCACAAGACAUCACAUUGGAUAGUAGACAUGAGAAAAUAAACUAUCAAACCAAACAAUGUGGUCAAGAGUAUUAGAUUAGAGAAAGACCGUAUUGCAUUUGUAAUCCGAAACUGAAUAGGUUCUCUAACCUCUUCUGAUUAGCUUGGGUAACCAUGAUAUGCUGCUAGGUGUCACUCAUGGUUUGUGGAAGCCCUAAACGUGUAUAAUCACUAAAGGGAGAAUUGAAAAUAGUUUCAAUUCACAAUCGAUGUAAAAUGGUUUUAAUCGCCCACUACCUCGCUAAAAGGAACCUAAUGGAUCGCACACCGUGAAAGGUGGAGAUUGGAGAUUAAACGGAAAUGAGUAAGAAUGAUUAUUAAAUGGUUUAAUCAUUUAUUUAUGGCAAGGAUUAAUUAAUAUGUUAAUUAAUCAAACGAAUAAGUUCGUUAAAGACUUCGGGAUAGUUUUGGACCUUAAGGCCCAAUGGGCUUCGAACGUCAAGCCCAUUAACUUAAGUUGUAUGACAAUUUAAUGAAUAAAGAUUCAUUAAAGCCCAAAAGCCCAAAAUCCCUAAAUGGCCAUGGCCAUGAUGAAAUGAAUUAGGGUUUUGGUUGUUUAGGUCACUUAAAGAAGUGACUAUAUAAAUGACUUUAUAACUAAAUAUUCAUUAAGUGAACUUAAGGGUUUAUUUUUUUGGGGAAAAUAGGUGAGAAUUGUCUCUCCAUUUUCUCUCUCUAAAGAGGCCAACACCUUGGAGGGUACAUCUAGCAAUCCUACUACUCCAAGGUCACUCAUUUCUUCUACAAUCGAACCUUGGUGUCGAGAAUUAGAGGUUCUCAAUUUUGGGAACUUGGAGAACCUAUUCUUCCAUCCAAAUCCAUGGAUCUAAGAAGCAAGGAAUGAAGGCCCUUAUCUCUUUGGGUGAUUAGCCUUUGCUUAUGCAAAGAGGAAUCUACAAAGGUAUUAAUUUCAACUCACUUAUGUUUUGAGUUGAUUAUUGGUUCACCAAUCUACUAGGCUUUGAAUUUUAUGGGUAAAUGUUUUGUUUUUGAGUGCAUGUAACCAUGAUUCCGCCUUUAAUUAUUAAUUGCAUGCUAUAUGAUGUUGCUCAAAUGAACAUGUUUUACAAAAUAAUUCCUUCAGUAUGCCAGCCGGAGUCACCUAAAGUGACCUGUACAGCUGGGUCCACAACUCAUCAAUCAAAUUCUGCACACGAGUCGGAACCACCUAAUGUGGUUUGUACGACAGGCUAGGUGUAAACAAUUACGCUCUCAAGUGCUACGGUCACGUGAAGGCUGUGCGAAGUAUCGCAAGUCACCUACGAGUUAGAACCACUUAAACUGGUCUGUACGACAAGCUGACACCUGCCUUGGAUCCAAGGUGAGCGUGUGGUGCGAGAGGUGAACGAUCACGGGAAGGCUAGGCCUUGUCUUCUGAUGGAGCACUAACACUGGGGUGCAGGAUAAUAAGCUUAAAGUACAUCUCAGUACUAAUAUAUUCACUACCAUGACUACCAUCAAUAUACUCACCUGAAGCUUACCUGAGCAUCCAUAGCUUCGAGCAACAAUAUAUAUAUAUAUAUAUAUAUAUAUAUAUAUAUAUAUAUAUAUAUAUAUAUAUAUAUAUAUAUAUAACCAUACUAAUGCACAAUUAAACAUAGAGAGCAUUUGACAUGGCAUUUCGAAGUAUCAAAUCAUUUAAUUAAGUUUUCUGGGAAAAUACUAAGUAUAUAUAUAUAUAUUGAAAACCAAAAGCCCACUCACUGGUAUAUGGAAGGGUCGUAACCCUCGAGUCUUGCUUGACUGUGCUCGUCCUCAGGAUAGGUCUCACCUAUAUGUGAAACAACUAUUUAAACGUUAUUUUAAAGCACAUAAACAAAACUAGUUAAGAACUUUUCAUACAUUGCUCAAUUGGGGUAUUUGAAUACCACCGUGACCUACUCAACCUUAGGAACAUCCCUAUAUUUUUAGAAAAAUUUUCCGACCACUCACUCGCCGUUACGCGCUGACCAAGGCACGCCCAGACGCGCAAUCCAUGCGCAGGCACCUGCCUGGCACACUAACGGAUUCUCUAACGGCGUUAGGGAAUAUUCCGUUAAAUAUUAGAAUAUGCCAUUAAAUAUACUUGACACCGUUCGAAUAUUCCAUCAACUUUGACAGAAUAUUUGUCUUCUUCUCCGGCGAGUCAUCGGAUUUUGUCGCCGUCACCGUCUGUGUCAUCGAAAAUUGGAAAAUUUUCAAAUCUUCCUAUCUUCUUCAUUUCUCAACCAAAAUUCACGAAAUUUGAACCAAAUUGAAGCUUGAGAUGAGAGGAACAAAACCUUACCACUUUUAGGUCUUAAAUCCAUCGAAAAAUCGUCGGAAAAAUCCACGAUAGUCCGGCCACCUCUGUAACUCACUAACUCGAGCUUCCUGAUGUCCAAAAUACUUCAAAUUUCUUCCCUAAGCUUCGCAAAGACGUUCUAAGGCUCCCUAGCACCCUAAAACUCGAUGAAACCUCUGUGAUCACGACGGGGUCACUGUGCGCCUCAUUGGGGUUUUGUAUAACUCGAGUUCUACGAGUUCUCACGUCGAACCGAGGAUAUAAACGAACUCCUGGGCUCACAAGGAACACGAAAACCACCUCCUCGACGUCGAUCCGCGCAUGAAAAGGUUGGUUGAGGGAUGAUCCGUACAAUUAUAUAGAAAAUGGAUGGAAGCCGAUAAAGAAGGAGAGAGAGAGAGAGUCAAUGGGAGAGUGGUAUGGGUGCGUGUGUGGUCCAACUUUGGGCUACCAACCAACAAAUAAAAGCUUACUUCCAAUUGGGUCCAAAAAGUUAGGAAAAACAUGUCAUGGUCCAAAUCCUUAGCCCGUUUACACACACACAACCACUAAAUGCUUAAGGGCAUAAUCAUCACUUCAUGCUAUCAAGGAUAAAAUAAUAAGAACAUUCGGGACGGGCUGUGAUACCCUACCCCCUUAAAAAAAUUUCGUCCCCAAAAUUCCAUACAAUAAUGUACAACCACUAAUAGCCACAAAAUAAGCGUGGAUACAUUUCCUUCAUACGAUCCUCUGCCUCUCAAGUAGCUUCCUCCAUUGAGUGAUUCCUUCACAAAACUUUAACCAAGCGCACCGUCUUUUUCCUCAAAACUUUAUCUUUCCAUUCCAAAAUCGUCACUGGCUCCUCAUCAUAAGUCAAAUCUGAAUUAAUUUCCAAUGGUUGAGGAGGUAUCACAUGUGAUGGAUCAGAGAUAUAUUGACGAAGCAUAGAAACAUGAAAAACAUCGUGCAUUUUAGACAACUCGGAUGCAACUUAAGCCUGUAAGCAACCUCACCGACUCGCUCGGUGAUCUGAUACGGUCCAAUGUACCUAGGACUUAGCUUACCCUUUUUCCCGAACCGCACUACACCUCUCCACAGAGAUAACUUCAAAAAUACCCAAUCACCAACUUUAUACACUCGGUCAGUGGGAUGCUUGUCUGCUAGACGCUUUCAGGUUAGAUUUAAUUACCUGAAUGUUCUGAGUAGUCUCCUCUAUAAUCUCAGGGCCCACCAAAACUCUUUCACCAACCUUUGACCAACACAAGGGAGUACGACAAGACUUGCCAUAAAGUGCCUCAAAUGGUGACAUACCAAUACUCGAAUGGUAGCUGUUAUUAUAAGCAAACUCCAUCAAAUCUAACCGCUGAUGCUAGGCGUCGCCAAAUUGCAAUACCGAAGACCUUAGCAUAUCCUUCAGUGUCUAAAUAGUCAUCUCAGAUUGUCCGUCUGUUUGAGGAUGAUAUGUUGUACUAUAAAGUAAUCUUGAACCAAAAGCCUCCUGAAAUGCUACCCAUAACUUAGAAGUAAAUCUAGGAUCCCGAUCUGAGAUAAUACUAACCGGAACUCCAUGAUACUUAACAAUCUUCGAUAUGAACAAUUCAGCUAAUCGACUUAAAGAAUAUUUCUUCCUCAUAGGAAUAAAAUGUGCUGACUUAGUAAGCCAAUCAACUAUCACCCAAAUACCGUCAUAACCAUUUUGUGUACGAGGAAGCUUGUACACAAAAUCCAUAGUAAUAUCUUCCGACUUCCAUUGUGGAACGGGAAAUGGCUGCAUCAAUCCAAAUGGCUUUUUCCUCUCAGCUUUGACCUGUUGACAAAUGGCACAAUUACUCACAUACUCAGUAAUUUCCCUUUUCAUAAUCGGCCAAUAAUAAAAUGGUCGAAUGGUAUGAUACAUUUUAGUACCUCUAGGAUGCAUUGCAUAUGCUGAUACAUGCACUUCAUCAAGAAUUUCUUUCUUUAGUUCGACAUUAUUCGGCACAUACAUUCUUCCUUCCUACAUAAGCAUACCAUCCGAUUCUAUAAUCCUUAGAUCUUUUUUUCCCAUCAUUUCUUGCUUGAAUUAAUUCCUAGGUUUCUUCAUCAUUCAACUGAGCCUCGAGCACUCGAUCAAUUAAAAUUGGUCUAACCUGAAUAUUAGCAAGUAAGGCUUCAUUUCGUUCUUCCACCCCUAACUUCACUUCGGUGGACUUCAAAUCUGCAAGAAGAGGAACAUGACAAGCAUAAGCAUUAAUUCUCGCUUGAGGAUUCCUACUAAGUGCAUCUGCCACCACAUUUGCACGACCAGGGUGAUAAUCAAUCGUGCAAUCAUAAUCAUUAAGCAACUUUAUCCAUCUUCGUUGUCGAAGAUUAAGAUCCCUCUGAGUAAAAAGAUACUGAAGACUUUUACGAUCUGUAAAAAUCUUACAUUUUCACCAUAAAGAUAAUGCCUCCAAAUCUUCAAAGCAAAGACGAUAGCUGCUAACUCAAGAUCAUGAGUAGGAUAAUUAGUUUCAUGAGGCUUCAACUGUCUCGAAGCAUAAUCAAUCACCCUACUAUGUUGCAUCAACACACAUCCCAGACCAUUCAAGGAAGCAUCACUGUAGAUCUCAAAAUUACCACUAUCAUCAGGAAACGUCAAAAUAGGUGCAUGAGUGAGACAAUAUUUCAACUGCUGAAAACUCUGCUCGCAAUUAUCAUCCCACUCAAACUUAACAUCUUUCCUGGUCAACCUCGUCAGUGGUAAAGCAAGAACUAAAAAAUCUUUAACAAACCGUCUAUAAUAACCAGCUAGGCCAAGAAAACUCCAUACCUCAAUGACGGUUCGUGGUUACUCCUAAUUCUCAACAGCUGCUACCUUUUGAGGAUCCACCAGAAUACCUUGAUCUAGCCAAAAUUGGCACUUGCUAAACUUGGCAUACAACUGGUGUUCCCUCAAUUUCUUCAACACCAAAGUAAGAUGUCGAACAUGCUCUGAUUUCAACUUAGAGUACACCAGAAUAUCAUCAAUAAAGACAAUGACAAACCUGUUUAAAUAUUGUUGGAAUACUCGAUUCAUCAAAUCCAUAAAAGUUGCAGGUGCAUUAGUCAACCCGAAUAACAUCACAAGAAAUUCAUAAUGACCAUAUCGAGUCCUAAAAGCCAUUUUAGGGACAUCCUCACUUUUAAUCUUCAAUUGAUAAUAAAAAAACCUCAAAUCAAUCUUAGAAAACACACAGACGCCUCGAAGAUGAUCAAAUAAAUCAUUUAUACGUGGUAAUGUAUAACGUUUUUUAUUCGUUAUCUGAUUUAAUUUCCUAUAAUCAAUACAUAGCCUUAAAGUCUCGUCUUUACUCUCACAAAUAACACCGGAGCUCCCCAGGGUGAAUUACUAGGCUGAAUAAAACCCUUAUCAACUAAUUCCUGCAACUGAAUCUUUAAUUCCCUCAAUUCAACAGGAGCCAUUCGAUAAGGAGUUAAAGAUAUAGGAUCUAUACCUGAAAGUAAAUCAAUAGUGAAAUCCACAUCUCAGUCUGGUGGCAAUCCAGGUAAAUCAUCAAGGAAUAUGUCAGGAAAAUGCCUGACCACGCGAACAUUCUCCACAUUAGUCGAAGUAUUAUCAUUCAACGCCACAUGGGCCAAAUAUCCUUGACAACCUUUCUUUAACAACCUUUUAGCCCUUAUGGAAAAAAUAACACCAUGUUUCACCCCACUACUCUCACCCAUAAAUGUAACCUCAGGAAUCCAAGACGAUGAAAAGUAACUGACUUCCCAUAGCAAUCUAUAUUGGCACGAUUAUAAUGUAACUAAUCUGUGCCCAAAAUCACAUUAAAAUUCACAAUAUCUAACGGGAUGAGAUUAGUUGACAUAACUACAUCCUCCACUAACAUGGGACAUCUUGGAUAUACACAACUAACGUAACAUAUAUCCCCUCUAGGCAUAUCAAACUCUAAAUCAUACCCUAGAGGUGUGGGAUGAGGUUGAGUUAACUGAGCGAACGUACACCACAAUCAAUUAAUACUCUAGCAAAAUGACCAAGAAUAUUCAACGUACCCAUGAUCAAAUCAGGAUUAUUCUGAGCAUCCUGCAGUGUUAUGUGGUGAAUACAUCCCUAAGCCUGUUGUUGACCUCCACGACAUCUGCUAGUCUGACCACUAUGACUUUGCACGUUAUGCCCCUGGACUGGCUGAUUAGACUGUCACGAUGAUCAUGCACUGCUAGUCUGACCACCAGCUGAAUAUGGCGAAUAUGGCAUAUAACCUCCAAAAUACUGAGGAUAACCACUCUGCUAAUACGGGUCCUGUGGAUACUGAUACUACCCUGCAGAAUAAAGAGCUACAUCACCCUGGUAAUGAUAAGCACCUCCACAACCCGUAUGGGCAUAACCACUAGGUCCUAAAACUUGCUGGAUCGACAUUGGUGGUGGUAGAGAAGGCUGUUGGGGCCUUUGCUGAUUCUGAGGACAAUGCAUAGCCCUAUGCUUCAUUUGCCCACAAGUAAAACAUCAUAUACUACACUGCCUGCACUCCUUAAAAUGUCGGCUAUUACACCUACAACAAAACAGACUACCCGAACCACCAGAAACACCCAAAAUCUCUCUGCCUCUGCAAAACGAUGACCUCCAGAAAACCUACCACCACUCAUUUUAAAACUUUGAGUCUUACGAGGACCCUGAGAUGAUUGACCCUUAUCUUUAUCAUCUUUCUUCUUCUGGUUAUCUUCUUCCUCCUUUCUCUCACUAGGCAUAUUUUUUGAAUCUUUAAUAUGUAGUAAAAUCUCAUAAAACUCCUGGUAAGUAGCACAAGGAGUCAUGGUCGCCAUAGAACGCUAUUUCUUUCGAGUACCCAACCUGAAAUGAUGAAGCAUCUCAACCGGAUUAGCAACAACCUCUAGAUCAUAGCGAGAUAAAUCAGUAAACCUCCUGUAGUACUUAUUAGCUAUCAUAUUUCCUUGCUUUAGGUGCGUGAAUUCUUGCUUCUUGCAAUCUAUAUACUCUGGAGGAAUGAAUCUCUUCUGAAAUAACUACUUGAAAAUUUCCCAAUUAGCAACUUCCUCUGGUGAUAACUGAUAAGACUCCUGUCUCCACCAAGAUGCAGGUUCCGGACCUAAAAACCAGGUAGUCGUCUCAACCCACCUAUCAGAAGGAAGACUCCCUAACUCUGCAUCACACAGAAAGUCUUCUCAAUAUGAUUGAGCCACCGCUCUGCUCCUUCAUGUCAUUCAUUACCCAUUAAAUGAUUCAACUUCAAAUUAUACACAUCUCUAGAGGUGUUAUUUGGGGAAGAUGAAGCGAAGACUGAAUAGCAUUAGCUAUAGCUUCCCUUAGUUGAGCAAUAUUAGGGAAACUAGGCUCAACUGAAGGACGUGGCUCUCUACGAGGUAGCAUAGUUCUGACAGAAGACACCAAGAUAAUUAGAACAUUCACAAGAUAUGCAGAAUUGCCAAACCUAGGCUUUGAUACCAAACUGACAAACCCCAACCUAAUAUCGAGGCAUGCUGGCCUUCACGUGAGGGUGACGUAGCCAUAUGCAGAGUGCAGAAGCAAUAUUAAUAUAAGGAAUGCGAAUAAAUAAAAACAAACUGACUAAAACACUAGAGGAGAUAAAGUGAAAGUGCGAUAUUAAAGGUGACUACACCCAACCAGAGCGUAGGUAGCCUAAGUGCAGUCCAGCAGGACAAAUAUUAAUUACUUAAUACCAAAGAUGGUCAUACAUUUGUGAUGAUUUGUCAGAACCAUCGUCAAUUCCUCGUGAGCCACUAACGAGCGCUCCUACCUAAAACCUGGAGGGGCGUAAAACAGAAAGUGUGAGUGGGCAAAAACAAAGCUUUUCAAAACCAUUUCACUAUCCAAGUAGUAACCCAUCGCUGUAAAACCUGUAUAAUUCCCAGAAAAUAGCAUAUAUGAUUAUAUCCCAAAAUCAUAUUCAAAAAUAGCAAAUCCACCGAAUAUACCAUGUCAUACCUUAGAAAGAAAUAAGAAAGCCAAGUGAAAUACAUUAAUAUGAAAUAGUAUGCCAGCCGGAGUCACCUAAAGUGACCUGUACGGCUGGGUCCACAACUCAUCAAUCAAAUUCUUCACACGAGUCGGAACCACCUAAAGUGGUCUAUACGAUAGGUUGGCAACUGCCUUGGAUCCAAGGUGAGCGUGUGGUGUGAGAGUUGAACGAUCACGUGACGGCUAGGCCUUGUCCUCGAGUGGAGCACUAACACCGGGGUGCAAAUAUAUUCACUACCAUCACUACCAUCAAUAUACUCACCUGAAGCUUACCUGAGCAUCCACAGCAUCGAGCAACAAUAUAUAUAUAUAUAUAUAUAUAACCAUACUAAUGCACAAUUAAACAGAGAGCAUUUGACAUGGCAUUUCAAAGCAUCAAAUCAUUUAAUUAAGUUUUCUAGGAAAAUACCAAUUAUAUAUAUAUAUAUAUAUACUGAAAACCAAAAGCCCACUCACUGGUAUGUGGAAGGCUCGUAACCCCCGAGUUUUGCUUGACUGCACUCGUCCUCAGGAUAGGUCUCACUUAUAUGUGAAGCAACUAUUUAAACGUUAUUUUAAAGCACAUAAACAAAACUAGCUAAUAACUUCUAAUACAUUACUCAAUUGAGGUAUUUGAAUAUACCAUCAUGACUUACUCAACCUCAGGAACAUCCCCAUAUUUUUAUAAAAAAAAUUCGAUCACUCACGUGCUGGCCAAGGCACGGCCAGACGUGUGGCCCACGUGCAGGCACGUGUCUGGCACACUGACGGAUUCCCUAACGGCGUUAGGGAAUAUUUUGUUAAAUAUAACUGACGCCGUUAGGAUAUUUCGUCAACUUUGACAGAAUAUUCGUCUUCUUCUCUGACAAGUCAUCGGAUUCCAUCGCCGUCUGUGUCAUCGAAAAUUUUCAAAUUUUCAAAUCUUCAUAUCUUCUUCAUUUCUCAACCAAAGUUCACAAAAUUUGAAUCAAAUUGAAGCUUGAGAUGAGAGGAACAAAACCUUACCACUUUUAGGUCUUAAAUCCACCGGAAACUCGCCGGAAAAACCCACGAUAGUCCAGCCACCUCUGCAACUCACUAACUCGAGCUUCCUGACGUCCAAAAUACUUCAAAUUUCUUCCUUAAGCUUCACAAAGACGUUCUAAGGCUCCCUAGCACCCUAAAACUCGAUGAAACCUCUGCGAUCACAACGGGGUCACUGUGCACCUCAUCGGGGUUUUGUAUAACUUGAGUUCUACGAGUUUUCACAUCGAACGAAGGAUAUGAAUGAACUCCUGGGCUCACAAGGAACAUGAAAACCACCUCCUCGACAUCGAUUCGCGCAUGAAAAGGUUGGUUGAGGGAUGAUCUGUACAAUUGUACGGAAAAUGGAUGGAAGUCGAGAAAAAAGGAGAGAGAGUCAAAGGAAUAGUGGUAUGGGUGUGUGUCUGUGUGGUCCAACUUUGGGCUACUAACCAACAAACAAAAGCUUACUUCUAAUUGGGUCCAAAAAGUUAGGAAAAACAUGUCAUGGUCCAAAUCCUUAGCCCGUUUACACACACACAACCAUUAAACGCUCAAGGGCAUAAUCGUCACUUCAUGCUAUCAAGGAUAAAAUAAUAAGAACAUUCGGGACAGGCUGUGACAACAUAAAAGAUUAAAAAAUUAAAAACAUUUUUUUACAAAGCUAAUGGGUACAAACUUAUUCUAUUUUAUUUAUUUAUUUUGGAAAUGUUUUGAAUUGAAAAUUAGUUAGGAGUUCAAUAAAGGUGUGAGUAUUAAAAUUCUAAAUCAAUUAUUAAUUUUUAUUUUAAAAAAAUUAUGUAACUGACACGUAAAUUCAUUAUUAUAGUAAUGCUAGAGACUUGGAUCAAAAUCUUAGAAACUAAUAAGGUUUCAGUCAAUGAACAUUAGUAACUAGGGACCGGAUACUAAUUUUUCCAAAAAAAAUUGUAUUACACACUAAGCAUAAUAAGGGUUAUUUCUUUUGUUUUUCUUUUUUCCAAAGCAUAGUAAUGGUUAACUGAAUGUGAGGUUGUAUUACAUACAUAUGGAAACUUGUUGUUACUCCAAAUUAGUUAGCUUGCAUUCCACAAAGAAAUAUAGGAGAAAAUUAACAUUAAAAAUGAGUGCAUAAUGACUUUUAAGAGCCAAUAACAUUUUCCUAAUAAAAAUGUGAGCUUUAUUCGUUGAGCAUUGACAUAACACUAGAAUGAAACAAGAUGGAGGUGAUUUCACUUUCACAACCCAGAACGCUAAAGGCCAAGGGAGAGCCGAACCUUUGAUUGGCAUGGACACAUACAAAAUUCUCGACAUCGAGAGAUUUGAGAUUGUAUGAUUAACUUAUUGCAAUAAGACAAAUUUCAUUGAGAUGAAUCAAAGUUCUUACUGACACACCCCGACCGAGAUCAAGGCAUGCUGGCCGUCACGUGAGAGUGACGUAGCAAUGUGCACAGUGCGGAAGCGAUAAAAAUAAGAUAUAUACGAAUAAUCAAAAACCAAAUUACUAGAGUGCACUACUAAACAGAGAGUGAUAGGAGUUAGUUACAAUAGUAAACACUCCUAAUCAGAGCAUAAAGUCUAGGUGCAGUCCAGUAGGACAAGUACUAGUUAUACAGUACCAGGAAUGUCCUACUAUUAUUUAGAUAAGUCAGAACCGCCGACGUCCUCAAGCCUUCCAACAACAAGCUUACUUAAAACCUAGAGGGGCGCAAAACAGAAAACGUGAGUGGGCAAAAACAAAUGUUGUACAAAAUCAUUUUCUUUAUCAACGUAUCUAACUCCUCGUUGUAAAACAUGUAUAAUUUUUUCCAGAAUCAGAAUAUAAGUAUAUGCAUAAUAUAUAUAUAUAUAUAUAUAUAUAUAUAUAUAUAUAUAUAUAUAUAUUCUCAUUCCUACCUAGCACAAGACCUUUUGGGAGCUCACUGACUUUGAGUUCCGUCGGAACUCCGAAGUUAAGCGAGAAGAUGGCUAGAGAACUUCCAUGAUGGGUGACCCACUGGGAAGUUGCUCGUGAGUUCCCAGAAACAAAAUCGUGAGGGCGUGGUCGAGGCUCAAAGUGGACGAUAUCGUGCUACGGUGGUGGAGCAGGCCCGGGAAAUGAUCCGUCUUGGGUCGGGGUGUGACAAAUGGUAUCAGAGCCAAUCUCUGGCUGGAAGUGUGCCAACAAGGACUUUGGGCCCCUAAGGGGGUGGAUUGUAACAUCCCACAUCGCCUAGGGGAGUGAUCCUUAUAUGUAUAUUCUCAUCCCUACCUAGCACGAGGCCUUUUGGGAGCUCACUGACUUCGGGUUCCGUCGGAACUCCGAAGUUAAGCGAGAAGAUGGCCAGAGCACUCCCAUGAUAGGUGACCCACUGAGAAGUUGCUCAUGAGUUCUCAGAAACAAAACUGUGAGGGCGUGGUCGGAGCCCAAAGCGGACAAUAUCGUUCUACGGUGGUGGAGCGGGUCCGGGAAGUGAUCCGCCUCGGAUCGGGAUGUGACACUUACAGAUUGUCUUCAAUGGACACAAUUACAAAAGUUCAGGGACAAAAGUAAGAUGGAAAUAAGUUUAGAAUCGAAGCUAGAGAAUCCCAUGAAGUUCAGGGAUCAAAUUUGAAAUUAACUCUAGUUCAAAUAUAAAGAAAAAAAAUUGUCAAAGUGGGUUAAUUGUUAAUUAGCAUGAAUAGAAAGUAAACCUUAAUAAUAUUAAAUUUAGUUCUGGUUAAUAUUAUUAUUCUUGUCCAACAACAAACAUGGGUCAAAGUGGGUUUGAUCUGUCGAAGAUGGGAUGUCACUUUCUCAGAGCAAAACGGUUCACCUAACAAGUUAGUGGAAGCCAUCAUGGGCAUAUACUUUCUGUUCAUGCAUGAGAUGAGUCAUGACCCAAAUAAAACAUCUGGGUCCAUCUCAGCACGUGCCAAACUUUUUCAGAUGUAAAAAUUUAGGGUUUGGUUAUUUUGGUUUUGGUAAUGGUUGUUUGAGGUCAUUUGGUUCCACCAAGGUCUAAAAUAUUGAUAUUAUUUUGAUAUUUUUAUCGAAAUUUUCGUGUUUUUAGACUACCGAUAUUUCCGAUAUUAUCGAUAUUUUAGACCUUGAUAGGAACUUUAUAUGGUACUAAGUCACUCAUGUAUCUUACCAUGCAAUGUAUAAAGUGUAAAAUAUUGUACUAAUUCAUUAUAUAUAAAUGAUUAUGGUGUGUUUAAACUUCUUUCAUUAAUUACUACAUAUUUUCUACACUCACAAUGUUUGCCAGCUCGCUAUAUAAUCAAUUUAAAUCAGUUAAAUCCAUCAUGCAAUGCAUUUCCUUCCAAUUUUUUUGUAAUAAACUAAUAGAUAAUUGACUAAAUAAACAUCCUGUAAAGUUUCAAUAAAAAUUUCUAAGUUUUUCUUACAAUUUCCUUGGUUUUUAUUUAAUUUUUAUCAAUAUUGAUAAUAUCCCUAUAUUUCCAUCGAAAUUUCUGUGUUUUUAGAUUACCGAUAUUUCUGAUAUCAUCGAUAUUUUAGACCUUGGUUCCACCAACUACAUUUGAAAGGAAAUCUGGCUAGUAAGCUCAAUUGCUUCUUUUUUUUUUUUUUUUUUUUUUGGAAAGGUAAGCUGAAUUGCUUAGGGCACAGAAUUAUGAUACUAAUCAAGUUUUGAGAGAGAAAAACGCAAAGAAUUAGGAUUAAGAUAGAUUAAUUGUCCGAUUCCGUCAACAUAAUGUAAUUGGAAGGAAAAAAAAAUUAUGAAUACAUUGUUCGAAGCCACAAAAAACAUUUGAGCUUACAUGCGUACAAGUUUUGGUGAUUAGUGGUUCCACGUAUUCGUAGUUUUACUUUUAAAUCUUAUACUCGAUGUCUAUGAAAGAUUGAAUCUUGGGAUUUUUCUCAAACUUGCAGAGCAAAAACUUUAAAUUUUGUUCGGAGUUAUUGAGAAUUGGUGCACUUGUAAUAUUGGCGAAGCCUUUUUAUUGUUUCUAGAGUUGUACUUUAAACCGCAACUAGUUGAUUCGCAAAAGAUAGUAUAUGCAGUCCCCUUGGAAUAGUUACACAUAUCAACUCCUUUAUGAAUGGGGUGUGAUAUCCACACACCUCUUUUUACUUCUCUCAUAUUUCUUUAGUUUUCGGCCGUCGGAUCGGAUGAAUUGAAGAAGAUCAACGGACAUAAAUUAACAAGGGGUGUGUAAGAAAUAAAAAGGGGUGUGUGGAUAGCACACCCCUUAUGAAUAAUGUAUUUACAUGGUAAUAAUUCAUAAUCAAAACCUUUUAGUUUCUUAAUCAUCAUUUCUAAAAACACAUUCGAUUGUAGAUCGCUUAAUCAUCCAAAUAUGUCCAAUAAAUAGACGGUUUAUCAUAAAAAUAUUGCUUGGUGCCUACACUAUCAAUUUAUUCCAUACAUUGAAUAACAAAACGAUCUCCGUUUCGAAUAAUUUUUUGUAGGAGCAAUCUUCAAAUAAAAAUUAAGAAAUUGAAUGGUUUUGAUUAUCAAAUUUGUAUCCUAAAUAAAAUGACAUCAUUCACAACAGGUAGAGAUGUAUCCACCCUAUGAGGAGGUGGAUGCAAGGAAUAUCUAUUUAUACUUUCAACAUGCUGUAAGAAAUAGACUAGAAGUGGACAAGUUCCAAAACAAAUCCAGAAAAAUCUCCAAUGCCAUAAUGCAUGUACCUAAUCCUUUGGUAAAAUCUCAACAUCAAAAGCAUUCAGUCCCUUUUCUGGUUGUGUUUUUCUUUUCAAUUGAAGACACAUUAUUCACUCUAAUAAUGUAGGGAAAGAUUACAAAGUUUCUUUCUAUAGGUUAGAUGUUCUUUUGGGCGUUCAUCGGCAUGAGUCGAGUGAUACUUCUUUUCCCAAAUCGACAUAAUGUCAAGUUUGUAGUUCCUUGUGUCAUAAAUUAGAAAAACGAAAACAAUUGAAACUUGAUUAGGUUACCAUUUAUUUCUUUAAAAUGAAGACUAUAUGUCACAUGUAUAAGAAAUAAGGAUCUCAAAAAUGUAUGUUUAACCUAAAGUUUUGGACUAUUAGGUGACAAGAUACAUAUCAAGACAUUAAAACGUUUUAUAGUAUAAAUAGCUCAAUCUAUCCAAACUUGUAGCUUGCGUACAUAAGCAGCCUCUAGCCUUCCAGCAACCUUGUACAAGUACUCGAGCGACGGACCCAAAGACGGUGAAAGUCUCAGCGAGUAUGCAGGGAAAGUACGAGUGAACAUAUAAAUAUGUUCCCACAAACGAGAGGGAGGUGGAGAGAUUUUUUAAGCACUAUGAUGGUACUCCAAAGCACAGAUAUUUGUUUAACAAAAAUGCUUGAAUAAAGCUAAAUGCAGAAGCUAUUAGUAAGGUCUGCAUUCUUAUAUCAUGCCUCAAUAUUAUUGGAAGUUAGUUGCCAAAAAUGUGACGACCUCCAUUCAACUUUGGGCCGAUGGGUCAUGUAAAAAUACCAGAGUUUACCUUCAAUUUACGUAAUUAAACUUCUGGAUGAAAACAUGAGCAACUUACAGCCAAUAUAUAUUUCGAGGUAGUUUAAACGAUGCAGGAGUUACUGCAGAAAUCGGGAACCGAAUGCACAUUCGAGUAAAGCAACUAAUGCUCCAAGUCACCCAAAGACCUAAUUGCCCAACUAACAAAGUCUUUAUAACAAAGCACAUAACUAGCUACAUUAGUUUCAAACAAGCAGAACAUGAUUUAAAGAGAGGACAUACCUACACAAAUAUGAUAUGAAGAUAAUGCAGAAAUUUCACCGUGCCAGCCAAAUUCAGUUUGUAUCAUUGACAUUUGACAACUGUGUUCACUUCCUCGACACUAGAAUUCAAUUCGGUAGAUUUAUCACCCAACUCUGAACUUUCUGUUUUUGGUACUUUAACAAAUUGUUUACCGCGUGCCACACGAAUUCCCCUUCCCAUAAGCAGCUGCAGGAAAAGAAGUUUCCAAGGGGAAAAUUACCUUCCUGUGGGAAGCAGAAAGAGCUGCCUCAGCCUCGGUCCUGGUUUUGAAGCCCACAAAUCCAUAUCCUGUGGACCUUCGCAGGUUAUUUUGGAAUACAAUUUCUGCUGUAACAACAUUAUAAUCCUCUGAAUCGAAGAGCUCCUUGAGAUCUUUAGACCUUGCUUCAUACAGCAAAUUUUCCACUUACAUAUUGAAAGUUAAUGGCUUGGGUUGUGAAGAAGGGGGAGGAAUCUUCAUCUUUUUCGGCCUGGCAUAAGCCAUGUUUAUGACACGACCCUCCAUUUCCUGUAAGGCAUUCCAAAAUAAGAGAAAAUCAUUUACUAGACAAUAGGAUAAGGAAGCCGCAUAAGUAUCAUAUAUUUAAAGGUCGUACCCAGUGCACAAGGCUCCCGCUUUACGCAGGGUCUGGGAGAGGUGAAUGUCGGCUAGCCUUACCCCCAUUUAUAUUUAGUGGCUCAAAAUAUGAAGGAAAAAGCCAACGUAUCAACUUGGAAAAAAUUACUAGUUAACCCAAAUAUUACAUUGAUUCUUGAACUUCAAAAUGAGACACUUAACCCUUUAAACUAUACUCUGUAUGUUUGGUCCUUUAACAUUACUGAAGGGAGUACUCACUCAGUGGCAUAUGGAAAACUUAUUCAAGGGAAUAGAAAUUAUGAUCUCAUUCUCAAAUAUUGAGAAAAUGGUGGCAGCACUACCUCCAUUGAUUUCUUCCCUCUCCCUUUCCCUAAAACAUCUUCUAAUCUUCACCACCCUAUCACUCCAUUCAAACAUAUAUCUCUUCUCAUCUCCUUAAAACUUCAUGUUAAAUCCUCUCUUGCUUUCUCCUGUUUUCAAAAUUUGCCACUUUGUGACUCUCCUACAGCCAAAAAGUCUCGGUACAAGAAGAGGAACAAACCCAGUGGAUGAGGAAACCUUCACAACCUCCACAAAUAAUAAAAACUAAAAUGUGCACAGUAGAAGUACAGUAUACCAUAGUUCCAGCUCAAUCCCCUUGUUAUUUGAUGUUGGAGUAGCUCUGCAGGUUGAACACAAAUUGAACGUAUGUUCAACAAAGGUAAGAAGAUCACAAACCAAUGGAAGAAGGUAAAGAAGUAAGUGUGUGAUAGGGUAUGAUGCUAAAUAAUGAUGCCAUGAGAGAGGAUGUCUUGGCAUGAAUUGAUGACGAUGAUGAUGGAGUUAACUGGUUUCUAGAGGUGUUGGACGCCUCUAAGAGAUUGUCAUUUAUGCUCUCUCGGUGACUGAAUGCAUGACUUUUAUCAUCUACAAAUGAAGAGAUGAAACAGUAGACCUCCCUUCUAGGAAUAAGAUAACAAAUUAUGCCCUUAAAUUAGUGCUCAUGUGCCACCUCCAAUCAGAUGAAUAAUUGCAUUCCCAGAUAAAGGGCCUAAUACGGAGGUUAAACUUAAAGUCGAAGGGAUACCAGUGAAUUUCACCAAUAAAUUCAGCUCCAAAGUACAGGCACAGGAAAAGUGCACACAAAUAUACAUGAAACAAAGAACUAAAAUUCUCUUCUUAUAUUUUUAGAGAGCAACGAAUUUACAAUACGAACGAAACAAACACAAAAUGGUAGUCAAAUAGAAUAGUAGAACGCUCCCUCUCAUACAGCGGAAAAACUAUAAAAUUCCCAAAUUUCAUUUCACUUUCCCAACUAGUAGUCUUUCUAACUGACCAAACCAAGCAUAAAACUAAACUUACAACAACACAAGCAUUCACAUAAGAUAACAGAACCCGAUAUACUUACAGACGAUUCGAGAUAACCAGAGCCGUACGAGCCUCCUCGGGCGAUCCCAUUGUUACAAAUGCCAAACCCCUGUUCCUGGUCUUGUCAUACAUGGCAAGCUUACACCACCACCAAAAUAAAAAAUAAAAAAUAAAUAAAAAAAUAAAAAAAGACAAGAACAAUCAAAACCCAUCAAAUAAAAUCACAAAUUAUUAAUACCCAACAAAAAUAAUUCUCUUUCAAACCAGAGAAAAAUGGAGAAAAAUGACAACCUCAAGGUCGACGACGGUGCCGUACUUCUCGAACACAGAUGGAUGUCUUCCGGGAUGCAAUGCCAAGGAACAUUCUGGCAAGCAGUCUUGUGUUGGAGAACUCUAUGGGCUCCGCUCGAGGACUGGGGUUGCGUCGAGAGCUUGGUCUUGGGCGGCGGCGGAGAAUUGAAGGACGAAAUUCCCGAGCUUUUUGGCCCUGAAGGAGGAGGAACGAGUGGGUUUGGGGGAGAGAGAGAGGGGGAGGAAAGAGAGGUGGAGAGAGAACGAGUGGUCGGAGUGUGCUUGGAGAGGCGUCGUGGGUUUUGGAGAGAGAGGGGAGGUGUGAGAGGGAGAACUUGUUCAGUGGGGAAAGAGAGAUGACGAAGUAAAGCCAUUGCUGUUGAGCUUUGUUGUCCAUGAAGUCUGAAGUUUCAAGUAGGGGGCGGGGAAAGACAUCUCUUCCACUAUCAGAUUAAAUCAUCCAGAUAUUUGAAAUUUUAUCUAAUGGUAAAAAAAUUAUUAUAGCUUUUAAAUGAUCAAAUCAGGUGGGGUAUAGCUUUUAAAGAAUAAAAACAGGUGGACCGUUGAAUAAAAUUUCAAUAACUCAGAUCACUUGAUUCGAUCAUCUUGAACCUUGAUGAAAGAGAUCCGAGUGUGGGAGUUUGAAGUUUCAAGUAGGGUGUCAAACAUCAUGAUAAGGAGGCUAAAUUUUUAAAUUAAAUUUGAAAAUUAUAUAAUAUGUCAUAAAUAAGAAAUGAAAAAUUUUAUUUGGAUCCAAUUAUCUUAGUCUACACCCAACUAAAAGAUUUUAUCCACUAAACUUUCAAGUUUAACCUUAAAUAAAUAAAUAAGAAAAUAAAAAUAGAUGUAAAAAUUUUAUUUGCAGCUUCUACUUAUUUUCUUUUUUGGGUUCUCCAAAUUGUACCGUGGAUGAAACUACUUUUACACGAAUUGGAUUUCGAUUAUAUUACUGGAUAUGGUAUUGAUAAUUGAUCCUUGAAAAUUCCAAUAAAUAAUCCCAAUUGAAAAUUUUGGAGCCCAUGUUGUUCAUGAUCUUGAUAUAAUUUUUUGCUGUCACUUGGGUGGGUUAGCCGGAAAUAAUGGAGGAGUGCAGCAAUAUUGGGUGCAGAGAUAAAAAGACCAAUAUUUAUUUUUGUAUUCUUAUUUAUUUAAGGGCAAACUUGGAAGUUUAAUAGAUAAAAUGUUUUAGUUGGAUGUAGAGAUAAGACAACAGGGUCCAAAUAAAAUUUCCCAUAAAAAAUAAGCACGUUAAUUGACACUUCAUUAAUAAUUCAUUAAUUAACAACCACAUCAUUUGAUUUACACAAUUUGGUUUAAAAAUUUUGUAACGACCCAUCCCCAAAUCCUAUGGUUUUUAUAAUUUUAAAACGUGAAUUUACGAAAAUACCUUUUGAGGCUAAAACAUUGGCUUUUGUUGACCGUCUUGUUGUGUCGCAUAAGACUCUUUUCCUUGGCAUAUCCUUAUAGUAUUCGUUGCUAUGAACGAGUAGGCACAAGCGGAAUCGAGUUUGGAGUUAGAAUAAAGAUUUUACAAAAUUAGGAAUGAUAUGGGCAUUUCGGUAAUUUUACGUUCCACAAGAUAUUUUCCCGUUUCAUCUUUUCUUGCCUAUUUGGUGAGCCAGUGGGACCCACCCUUGCUUUCCAGCCUCUCUCUUUUUCCCUCAAUUUUCUCUAUUUCCUGCGAACCCUUUCUAUCUCUCUCCUUUAACUUUCAUCCCUCUAUUCCCUCAUAUCUCUCUUGUUCUUUCUAAUCUAUAGACGCCACAGAGGGUGGUUUCGCCACCCUUCGUGUCGAGCCCGACACAACCACCAUCUCAUUCUUUCUUGGUACUGUGGCACUACCACUGUGCUUGUGUUCUCCAGCGAGUUCCACCAUCUACGGCGAAGGUAAACCCCUUAGAAUGUUUUAGAUCAUGUUGUAGUGUUAGAUUAGGAUAGUUUUAGGUGCUGACCACACGUGGAUGCAAGGAAAACCUAAUGGGAGGCAUUGUGCAUUUUCUAGAAAUCCCAAACCGUUGCCAUUUAGCCACUUUUUUGGCCAGCUCCGACCUCCGUCGAGCCUCGAAAGGGUAUAUAUUGCUUCCCUAGGACCUUGAAUUACUCAAUUUGGUGUUGUAUUAAGCUCGGAAUGAGCUCCGGAAGUUAGCAUUUCCACCUACAAAAUCUGCAGGUUUUGUAGAGAAUGCGACGAUAGUGUACUUGCAGGCGUGUAGUGCUGCAAUUCCCGGUGCCUGGAGCACACGCGCCUUUACAAGAGGUACUAUGCUCCGCCGUUGUCCACGGUCCCGACCACGGUGGCGUUGACAACUUUUCCGACCCACUUUCCAACGACUCAACUCGAUACGUGGCGGUGCUUGGGGGAACCCGAGGUCCCUCCUUAGGUUUUUUGACAUCCCGAAUCAGACGUCUGUUUUCCCAAAUUCAAUCGUCUUAGUAAGGUUUCACUAAUUGGUCCUUUUAUGUGCCUAGGGUGCGUUUAUUAGUGGUGAUCAUGUCCUCUCUAGCUCAAACUGCUUUUUAGCGACAGAGCAUCUGUGAGUGGACCCCUUCUUAAAUUGCAUGAUUUUUAUUAAAUGCUAGGCUUGCAUUCAUGAAAAGCUUGAUUUGAUGAUUCAUCAAAUUUACAUUUUAUGAAAAUGUUAUGCUUUAUUGAAUUUACGUUUACGAAAGAUUUACAAACCAUGACUUUUUACGCCUUACAAUAUAUGAUGGUUUAUGAGAUGAUGAUUUGAGCUAGAACGCUCAUAUGGAUUUAUGAUAUGAUGUUUAUGCUUUGAAGUUUCGAGGUUUGAUAUGAAAAACGUGUUUAUGUUUUCAGUGCUUACUCAGUGGGUAAUCAUACAACAUAUACACACAACAUGAGUAUGUAUUUGUAUAUGGUCAUAGGACAUAGUUGAGGAGCAGUGAGAUAUUUAUGACAUACUCCCAGCUUCACUGACGAAACCAGUGUUGGACAGCUUCACUGGUCAUGGCUAAUGUCGGUGUGUUAUGUAUAUUUCUUCUAUGGCGUAACCCAGAGUCAUACAGCUUCACCCUCGGGUGAUGGAUAGGCCUUCGGGCAAAGAUGAUACACUUAUUUGAGUACUUUAUUGAUCUUAUCGUAUGAACGUUUUCAUAGCAUGUAGAGUUUUUUUUUAGAAAACCUAUUACGUAGUAUUAUAUGAGCUUUUCAAAACAGAGGGUUAGUAUGUUCAAAAGAAAAUUGAUUUUACUUAUUAUUAUUAUUAUUAACUUUGGUCUACUCACGCUUUGUUUUGUGCUCCCUUCAGGAUUUAGAAUCAAGACGUACAAUUUCGGCGUCAGGGCACUCCCGCAUAGAUAUAUUUGAUCCUUCUCAGUGUAGGACCCAUUCCUUUCUACAUACCUUUUUAUUAUGAUUAGUUGUAUGCUCUGAACACGUUUCUACAUUUGUUUACUUCUUUAUAUUUACACAUUCAUUUACCAUUAUCACUUACGUGCAUAUUAAAAUGGCUUCGUCACUCUCGGGUGUUGGCCAACACGUACCCACCUUGGUAUUUGGGAAUACCGUGGUUGAGGCGUGUCAAAUUUGGUCUCCCUAACAUCACCCGGUGUUAAGUGGGAGACUAGCAACAAAGGAGAUUUGGAAUAAAAUUGGCUAUAGCAGUGUGAUUUAGAAGUUUGGAUUAUUUUUCGUAAUUUAGAUGAAAUGCAAUUAUUACUUGUUGUGAACAUUCCUAGUUUAAGUGUGAUUGUGUAAAUCAUAGAUUAGAUUUGAUUCUAGUUAUCAUUUCCUAUUAUAUCUUGUAUUCCUUGGGGAUGAAGGCAUAUCUUCUCUCCUUAUAUUACUAUAAAUAAAGGCACAAUGUAUGAGGGAUAACAACACACACAUUCCCCUACAAUUUUACAAACACAUAUAUCUCUCUUCCUCUCCUUGUUGUCAACCACCCUAAACUUGUCAGAUAAAAUAGACCACAAUACGUUAUCAGCACGCUCCUAUCGCUGCGCUUAGGAAUCUGACGUAGAGAAUUUUUCUGCAACAAACCAGUUCAUCCAUAUCAUCACGUAAUUAGGUUCUUUCAAAACAACGGUUUUUAUCUCGAUAUUUUUGCAGCCCUGAUAGCAUGAACAUUCACCAUGAUGCAUGACCCAACUUUACGUUUUACGAAUUUUAGAUUCUACAUAAAUUGUGUAUGCCUCAUAAUCAUAAUUGUUGAAUUAUGUGAAUUUCAAUUCACAUACUAUUAUUUUUGCAUAUGCAUAUUAUUAGAUCAAAUUGAAUUUACGUUGAAUCGAAUUACAUAUGCAUAUAAUUGAAUUGAAUUGAAAAACAAUAAGAAAAAAAACGAAAUUGGGAAUCAUGGCCUGGGUUCUUCGAACCCAUGACCUCAAGCAUUCGCCCAAGCCUGCAGCUUACGGCCGAACCGUGCUGUAACAGACCGUCCCAAAUUUUACGUUUUUAUUAACUUUAAAAGCGUGAAUUCACGAAAAUGCCCUAGAGGCAAGGACUUUGACUUCCGUCGACCAUCGGUUGGAGAAACAUAUGAUUUAUUCUUUUAGUAUAUCCUCGUAGUACUCGUCGGUAUGGACGUGUGGGGGCAAACGGGACGUGAUUUGGAGCUAUAGAACGUUUGAAGUUUGGGGCAUAUUAAUAAUUUGGUUAUUAUUAGAAAACUCUAAAAACAUUUAAGUGAAAUCUGGUGUGCCAUGUGGGUGGCCUAGAUUUAAAGACAAGGAUACAGAUGGUUGUGAUGGAAAGGCAAGAAGAGAGAUGAGAGAUAAGUGGAGCAAUAAGGAGAAGAGAGAGAAGGGUGGACCAAUGAGGGAGGAGAGAAAUGAGAGAAAGGAGAGAAGAAGAAGAGGAGGGAACCGGCUAGGUUCACCAUGACCUGUGACCCGACCCGGUUCCAUCUCUCAAUUCCGACCACCAUAGACAGUGAGGUUGGUGUCAAAAUGAUCCUUAGCUGGAGGCCAUUUGAUAAUUCUUCCUAUUUCACCCAAAAAAUCAAGGGAUUUGGCAUUAAUUUCACAAAACCCUCACGGUGGGGUGCGACGGUUUUGGGUUCGAACCACACAAUUCCAAAGUUAACCACAUCCAUCACCACCACCCAUAGCAUCCUCUUGAGGCCUAAAAUAAAGCCCAAAUAAGUUUGGGGGUGGCGGAGUUGUAUUGGAGUCGGAUCGAACACACCCAAAUUCAAGGGUUUCGUACGGUUUUAGUAGAAUUGAAGCUUUUCUAGGUCAAAUUGGCCUUAGUCAUAGAUCGAUUCUUCUUGUCGAUUAGAUAAAUUUUCAUGUUUGGAUCGUGUGAUUUGGUUGAAAAAUAAGAAAGUUAUAACGAUUUAAAGUUUGCCCAGUUUCCAGCGACCUCCGCCACUUUCGAGGUAUUUUUCGGCCAAACCAUGGUGAGUUAGCCUUCAAAAAAGGUAUCAAUCUCUUCCUCUCGUCAAAACUAAGAUUUACAUUUUUGAAUCACUUGAUUUCGUGGAGUAUUGACAAAGUUAUGGACGUUGAAAGGUUGCCCAGAAAUUCCGGCGAGUUACCAGUUUUUCCGCGGACAGCUGUCUUUCAGACCAUUUUCCGGACACCUCUGGCCACCAUUUGGACUCCAAGCUGAUAUAAUUUGUUCUACAUUCUUCUAGCUUCGAUUUGGUAUAUCAUGGGUUGAAUUUGGUUGAGAAACAAGUGAGAUAUGGAGUUCUAAAGAUUGCCUGGAAAUAUGUGAAAUCUGCAGAAUCCAGCGAAGUUCUAUUAUCCACCACUUGAUUAGAAUAGUAAUCGACGAUCCGACCGUUGGAUCGUCACCAAACUUUGUUACAUUGUAUUAUGUAAUAUUUUAAGAUGUAGGAAUUUACGGAUUGGUAAUCCGAAAUACGGAUCUUCCCGAAUUGGAUUUGUAAGUCCAUAAAAUAGAAUGUUAACCGCCACUUGGUUUUGGAAAUUGGCGGAGAUCCAACAGUUGGAUCGUAAUGAAAUUUUAAUAUGUUAUUUUAGAAAUAUAAUUUGGAUCUUUGGAAGUUGCGGAUUGAAAAUCUGAAAUGCGGAUCUUCCGGAUCGAGUUAUACAAGAUUGUAGACCCUACGGUCGAUCAUAGAUCGACGGUUGAUUGAUGGUCAAUGAGUCUCAAACUAUUUUAGAAUGUCCUUGAUGAUGUAUUUUAUGUGAAUUACGUAGUCUAUUGAUAAAAGUUCUGAGAUGUGAUUCAAUAAUUGUUCUAGGCGCCAUUCAUUAGGGACGCCUCGAUGCGCGUGCUAGAGAAUCAUAGCGUGGACUCCAGGUGAGUGGGUCUUUUCCUUUUAUUAUAGGCAUAUAAUUGAUAGUUCCACAAACAUUGAUUUAUGCAUGUUACCUACAAUUAAUUAUUGUGAACUACGAAUGGAUUGAUCCUUGUUUAGGAUAUAUGUAGGUGGUCUAACGAGACGUUAGAUGCAGCCAUACAAUAAGUGAGAUUAAAUAAUCGAGACAAAAGCUUUGUUUGGGAAAAUGAGCAAUGUGAAGGAAUCUGGUGAAAAAACAUGAGAUUUAACCCUAUGUUUUGGGUGAAUAAAUGUUGGUUAUAAAUCAACAUGCGAGGAAACGAGAAAUUGUGGUUUUAUGUUUUAUAAAUGCCAUGCCAUAAUUAGUUUACAUUUUAGUAUGUGAUUUAGUACAACCUUGCACAGUGUUGCUCACCAAUGCGGAGGCUAAGGUAAGUUCAGGUGAGUAUAUAAUGUUGGUAUGAUUGAUGAGAUAUGAAUAAGUCGUACAGGUCACUAUAGGUGACUCCGACUUAUAUGCUAGUCAUGAUUGAUGAGAUAUGAAUAAGUCGUACAGGUCAUUACAGGUGACUUCGACUUAUAUGCUAGCCAUGGGAUAUGUGAUGAGAUAUGAAUAAGUCGUACAAGUCACUACAAGUGACUCUGACUUAUAUGCUAACUAUGAUUGAUGAGAUAUGUGAUGAGAUAUGUGAUGAGAUAUGAAUAAGUCGUACAUGUCAUGUAGCCAUGAUUGAUGAGAUAUGUGAUGAGAUAUGAAUGAGUCGUACAGGUCACUACAUAUGACUCCGACUUAUAUGCUAGCUAUGAUUGAUGAGAUAUGUGAUGAGAUAUGAAUAAGUCGUAUAAGUCACUACAGGUGACUCCGACUUAUAUGCUAGGCAUGAUUGAUGAGAUAUGUGAUGAGAUAUGAAUAAGUCGUAUAGGCCACUAUAGGUGACUCUAGCUUGUGUGCUAAUAUGGUUUAUUAAGCACAUGAUUAUUUAUAUUGCUAAUGAGUUGCUAAGUAGUAUUAUACUUCGGGGUUUACCGUUAGUAUAUUUUUUACUUCAUACUUCUACAUAGUAUGAUUUGCUGGAAACUAUACAGGUUUUACGGCGAGGGGUUACUACCUUUGAUAAUGGAAAUGACUUUGAAAAUCUUUGUUUUGACCACUCAUAUUUUUUAUUUUUGCACCCCUCCAGAUUCUAGUAGCAAGGUUUCCAUAUCGACGAGGAUUCGUGGCACUUCCUAGUACAUGUGGCUUCUUUUGAUGGUAUAGUCAUUAUCUUACCUUACUGUACUUUACUUAUGCUCUGUAUCACGCGUGAAAUGGGUCCAGACCUGCUCACCGCGCACUCGUGUACUUAGGUACUUUUAGAUUUUAAUUUAUUCACAUUUUAUACAUUAUCACACUAUAUGGCUUCGUCACCUUCUAGGUGUCGGACAACACAACUCGGUUCGGGAUCCUAGUGGACAUUCCAGGUCGGGGUGUGUCACCUGCCAAAGCCGUGAGAUCCAGGUGCCAACUGAUGCGAAAAUUAACUUAACACACAAAUUUAACCUUUUUUUGACAACUGUAGUAUAAGUAUAAGUAGGGAUCGUUCUGGACCGGGGAUUAGGAGGGCUUGCUAAUAACCUCUAAAUUGACUCAAAAACAUAAAACUAAACUUAAAAAUACUUAACAAGACUCACAAGACUCAAAUCAAACUUAAAAUACUCAAAACAGCUUAAAACAACUAAAUAAACUUAAACUAGACACUAGGAAUGACUUUGGACUAAAAUUGACUUUUACUUGAAUCAAAACAUUUAAAAACACAAAUUAAAACAUAUUCUAACUAAUUAGACACACUAAAGUAAAGGGGGAUUGAGUUUUGGACGAAGUUGAAACAAACAAACAAGUAUGAAAAACUAGACAGAUUGUAAAACAAAUUUGAGAAAUAAGAUGAUGGAUGUGAUAGCUAGAGGCUUUUUCUCCACACAUGACAUGUAUGCAAAUAACUCAAUUUCCAGUUACUACUUCAUUGAAUUAUGAACGACAAUGCUCCAAAUUAACCGUGACAUCAUUAGUUAACUCUCAUAUUUUCCUUGUUUUAUUGGAUUGGAUGACAUCAUUCGACAACCCAAAACAUUCUUCUAAAGUUCCCUACAUGAUAUCAUAAUAAAGAUACAAUCAAAUAUCAUUACGUUUAAUGAAAAUCAAAAGCAUUGACAAAGCACUUACAACUAUGACAUCAUGUCACUCAUGCUAGGAAUUGAACUUAACGCGAUCGUUUAUAAGUGACCUUCACUACAUGUGAAUAUAAGUUUGUAACGAUUAUGUGAAACUUCCUUAUAUUCUAGCAGCAGAUUUAUGCAUGCCAAUUAAGUGUCGACCCUUAAUUAACAAAUACAAAUAAGUUAUCAAUCAAAUAGUUAAGCCAAUUGCAUUCACGAUUCAAGAGUUCAUAACUGGAAUUUAUCAAAUUAUAUUGCACACAUAAUCAUGGCUUUGAAAUCACCCCUAGCCAAAAGGGGUUUAGCCACUCAUAUUUACAACAAAACGAAAGGAAAUGAAUUUAAACAUUAGAAACAAAAGAAAGAAAACAUCUAAACGCUCAAACGAUCCAAGUUGGACAACAAGCACGUACAAGCACUUUCAUUCCCUUCCUUUGCUACGGCACAAGGUGUUGGUGAGUGUUUGAAGGUUUGUUUGUAUGGAGGAAUGAAUGUGUUUGGAUGAAGGUUGUGUUGAAAUGGGAGUGAAUGAUCUAACCAAGUAUGAACUAAAUUUAUGUUACACACACUUCCUUUUAUAGAGGAAAUGCAUGGCAAUGGAGGGGAACAUGGAGUGGUGUAGCAAUUGAGUGCAAUGAUGCAUGAAAUUUGAAAUGAUGGAGGGAACAAGGAAUUGUGUAGCAAUUGAGUGCAAUUAUUCAAUGUAGUGAUGCAUGAAAUCUGAAAUGAUGGAGGGAACAAGGAAUGGUGUAGCAAUUGAGUUAUGAAAUGAUGGAGGGAACAAGGAAUGGUGUAGCAAUUGAGUGCAAUGAUUCAAUGUAAUGAUGCAUGAAUCUGAAAUGAUGGAGGGAACAAGGAAUGGUGUAGCAAUUGAGUACAAUGAGUGGUGUUUGAAAUGAUUCAAAGGUGAAAGUGAAGCGAUGAUGCAAAGCAUGGGGGUAAAAUGGAGUGGUGUUGCAGCUAGGGAACAUGAAUGAUUGUGCACAUGGUAGAGAAAGGAAAGGGAGGUGGAAUGAUGCAACAAAUGAGUCAAUGGAGUGAACAUGGAUGAGGAUGUAUGACAUAGGAAUCCAAAGGGAGUGCAAUGGUGGUGCACGACAAUGAUGGAAAGGUGAAUGGUGGAGUGACACCCCUUUGUGGCUGAGCUCUUUGUCCUUUUACAUUAAUUCUUCUUUCUCUUUAACACAUGUCUAGCCUCUUUAGUCUUCAAUUUCGUCCAUCCACCUUGCUCCAUGCAUGUGCUAUUCAUUCCAAGCACAAAACUGCUCCAAAAUGCACCAAAAUGCAUCUUAUUGCUUCAUAAGGGUUAUGGACCUACAAACACACGAAAAUAGCUUAAAAUACAUAAUUAACUAAGAAAUAACAACAUAAAUGCAUGAGAACAAGCUAACUCAGUCGCAUAAAUAUGCUCCUAUCACCAACCUAGAAAACCCGACCUCAUCGAUGGUGUCCUUGUCCAUAUUGACCACAUGAUGGCCUAUAGCCACCACCCUGAACAUUUUGUUCAUCAUGACAAUGACCAGAAGUCGUCUCACACCGAAAUUGUACUGAGAUUCAUCAGAAUUGUCCUAUAAACCCGAUUAGAAUUUCUAGGGUUUCACAACAAAUGUCGAGAUUUUUUUUCAAAUCUACAUUCUUAUUCUGAGGUCUUUGGCGACUCACGGACUCGUACUAAGCAUCAUUGUCCCAACGUCGACCGCCUGACGUGGCGCCGUCGACCAAAACCCGGUGUUCUUCCCCGGCAGUACACACCCAGCACGGCUAGGUUUGUGAUCGAAGACCUUUCUUUUUUGGGUUUGAACCCUCCACUACUUGUUUUUCUUUCCUACUUAGGCUCACUUGCCGUGACCCAAAAAUCCUUUGGGCCCACCUAUCUUAGCCCAUUCCCCUGGCCUGAAAAAAAAAGGAAAAAAAAAAAAAAUUGGGCUUGCUUGAAGCAGCCCGUAUUAGUUUUUUUUUUUUAAUUUUGGGCCUGCCUACAGCAGCCCAUCUUCUUGGGCCGUUUUGUUUCCCUCUCCCCAUGGGCCUGCAGCUUACCCGAGACCCCACAACCUAUUUUUUUGGCCUAGGUCUCACAUAACAAUUUUUUUUCAAGCCACCUGUGGCUUAGUUUUUUCCUUUUGGCCCCAAGUUAUAUUUGCCUAAUUAUUUUAGGCCCAAUGGGUUCUAUAUACUUUUCACCCACACUUUAAUUUGGCCGAAAGUCCAAAUAAUUAAAAUUCAAUUAUAAUUAUAAACAUGAAAUUAUAUUUUUUGCAUAUUCUCGUUGCAUAUUUGUUUGCAUAUAUAUUUGUGUUUACCUGCAUGAAUAUAUGAACCUGAAGUUCAUAAUUAUUUUGAAACCUGAAGUUUCUUAUAAACAUGCCUUAUUUGAAAACCUGAAGUUUUUCAUUUAAACACAUCACCCAUGAAAACCCAAAGUUUUUCUUGCAAAAUUAAACCAAAUCAUGUUUAUUAGAACCUGUAUGUUCUACUCAUACGUGAAUGGAUUGAUUUUUUCUCCAUUACACUAACCACAUCUUGUCCAUCUAUUUUGUGAUAGGAACAUGUUGAAUUUGAACAAACUCGAUUUCACCGCUUUAGAGGUCUCUGGAAUGAACUACCUCAAGUGGGUCCAAGAUGUGAAGCUCCACCUCACUGAAAAGAACUUGUGUACUGCCAUUAAAGAAGCAAUGGACGAGACUAUUGGCGAAGCUGAAAAAGCCACUGCUAUGAUCUUCAUCCGAAGACAUAUUCAUAACGCUCUGCAAACUGAAUAUCUUGUUAAGGAGGAUCUACGUGCAUUAUGGGUCGCUUUGGCUGAUCAUUUUAAUCACCAAAAAGACAUAUUAUUGCCUGAAGCAAGACACGACUGGCAACACUUGCGCUUCCAAGACUUUAAGUCUAUGAAUGAAUAUAAUUAUGAAGUUUGUCAAAUCCGAUCACUUCUCAAGUUUUGCAAUGAAACUUUGACUGAAGAGGAUCUUCUGGAGAAUACCUAUAAAACAUUUUCUGCUUUUAAUAUUGUCUUGGAACAACAAUAUAGAGCUCAGAAGUUCACUAAGUUCUCGGAUUUGAUCUCUAUUUUACUUCUAGCUGAAAAGCAGAACCAGCUGUUGAUGAAGAAUCAUCAAGCUCGACCUACUGGGGCAACUGUUAUGCUUGAAGCACAUUAUAGCAAUAACCAACGCCCAAAACGCCAAAGGGAGCGUUGUAGGGGCAGCCAAAAGCCAUCCUACCAAGGUUAACAGGGUUAAGGCCCAUCCAAGGGAGGAAACAAAGCCUAUAAGCACCCAAACCUCGCUCCCAAGGCCUCAAACUUCAAUAACAAGGGCAAAGCACCUAAAACCAUGGAUGCGGACAUGUGCUAUCGUUGUGGUUCAAAGGACCAUUGGUCAUGUGUUUGCCGAGCUCCUAAAAAGGUUGUAGAUGAAUAUCAUUCUCAUCAUAAGAAGUUUGAAUCAAACUUCAUGCAAAUGGACGAAUCAGAGACUACAAAUAUGAAGGUUUCUGAUUUUCAGGAGGAUACCACCCCUAUGGAAUAUUAGAAUCUUAGACAUAGACUUAUUUUUAGUUGAAAUAAGACAUUUGAGACCGAAUUCCACCUAGUGGCCAAACCCAUCCUUUGUUUUUGGUUGAUUUUUGAACAAUUUUCCUUUAUAUUUGGAUUAUUAGUUGGUGAUUUGUUUUGGAUAUUAAGUUUUUAAUCCUUGAAUAAAUGAAAUUAUUUUGAAUUGAUACUUGUUUUUUAUAAAACUUUUAUGCGUGUGAUCGACUUAAAUUAAUUUCUCAUUCUAGGUAUGACAAGUGGGAAAGUUAGUUGUCUGGCAAAUAGUGUAACCACACACAUAGUUUUGCGUGAACACAUCUAUUUCACUAACUUCAUACCUAAGAAUGCACAUUUGAUAACCCUCUCAGGCCCAUCCAACCUGAUAGAAGGAUAUGGUAAGACACGUAUAAUGUUUGUCUAAUGGUACAAUCUUGACCAUUUCUAAGGCACUCUAUUCUCCACGUUCCGGAAUGACGUUGUUAAGUUUCAAGGACAUUAGAGAUAACAAUUACCACGCUGAAACCCACGUAGAAAAUGGAGUUGAAUUUAUGUGCAUAACUUCGUACGAAUAUGGCUAGAAUCGUAUUCUAGAGAAGAUGAAGUGUAUCCCGAUUGGUCUGUAUACUAAGACCAUACGUCCCAUAGAAUGCCAUUAUGUGGACGACCCUACUACUGGGACCGUGCAUGAAAUUACGCUUUGGCAUGAUUGUUUGGGACAUCCUGGACGAAUAGCGAUGCGUCGUAUCCUCAAAUCUUCACACGGGCAUCCACUAACCCGAAGUUUAGGUUCGAUCCAAGGAAUCGUAUGUCAAACAUAUUCAAUGGAAAAACUUAUUACUAAGCCUUCUUAUGACAAGAUUCGUUCGAAUCCUCCCAUUUUUUUACAACAGAUUCAGGGGGCAUUUAUGGACCAAUUCACCCUCCAUGCGAACCAUUUAGAUACUUUAUGGUUUUGGUUGACGCUUCCACACGUUGGUCACACGUGUGUUUGUUUUCCACAAGGAACGCUGCAUUCUCCAAACUGUUGGCUCAGGUUAUCAAGCUCAUGGCUCACCACCCUGAUUAUCCGAUCAAAUCUAUUCAAUUGGAUAAUGCUGGAUAAUUCACAUCUAAAACUUUUGAUGACUAUUGCAUGUCGAUUGGGGCUGAAGUUGAACAUCAUGAACCCUAUGUUCACACCCAUAACGGCUUGGCAGAGGCUUUCAUUAAGCACUUACAAAUGAUUGCUCAAUCGUUGGUCAUACGUACCAAGCUUCCGAUCGCUGCUUAGGGCUAUGCAAUAUUGCACGUAGCAAAGUUGGUUCGCCUGAGGCCUGUUGCGACAUAACCAUUUAGUGCCCUUUAGUUGGUUACCGGAUAUGAACUCGACAUAUCGCAUUUGCGAGUUUUUGGUUGUGCGGUUUAUGUGUCGAUCUUGCCGCCCUUACAUACAAAAAUGGGGCCUCAGUGAAGGAUGGGAAUCUAUGUCGGAUAUGAUUCCCUUCGAUUAUUCGUUACUUAGAACCUUUGACAGGCGAUCUGUUUACCGCUUAUUUCACGGAUUGUCACUUCUAUGAGACAAUUUUCUUGUCAUUAGGGGGAGAUAAAAAUGUUAACGUUCCUGAAGAACAACGCGAAUUAUAAUGGACGACUCCCACUUUGUCUCAUUUAGAUCCCUGGACCGCUCAAUCUAAAAUUGAAGUGUAGCGCAUAUUAGAUCUUCAGAGCAUAGCUAAGAGCAUACCAAAUGCUUUCACCAAUCUAGCGCGUGUGACAAGAUCACAUAUUCCAGCUGCGAAUACACCUGCAAAGAUGAAUGUACCAAAUGUAUGACAGAUUGCCCUCAUGGAAGCCUGGGACGCCAAUCUUGGUGAUCCACGUACAUUAGCGGCUAUCCAAUCAUCUGCCUCUACACAAAAGCGUGGCAGACCCCUUGGUUCAAAGAAUUCACACUCCAGAAGAGGAAAACCAAGGCACAAGGUUCUAAAGAGCCUACCGUGAAUCCGACUAUUGCUUACUUAUUAUACCCAACUCAUGAGGAAAUUCUAGAUUAUGGAAGAGUCCUUAAAGAGACGAAUCCUCCUCUCGAGAAUCGUGAGAUUUUGGUCUAUUAUGCUAGCUUAGAUGAUGUGUGAUGUAGAAAUGAGAUGAUUGUCGACGAUGCAUUAACACUUGCAGUAACUACUGAGAUUAUGUUGAGCGAUGACAUUAAACAUCUUUCCGUUGAUGAAUGUCGACGUAGAACUGAUUGGUCAAAUUGGAAACAAGAAAUCCAAGUAGAACUCGAUUCGUUUGCGAAAUGUAAGGUAUUUGGACCGAUAGCUCCUACUCUUUCACAUGUGAAGCCCGUUGGCUACAAAUGGGUUUUCGUUCAGAAGUGUAAUGAGAAGAACGAAAUUGUGCGUUACAAAGCUCGUCUUGUUGCACAAGGUUUCUCACAACGCCCUGAGAUUGACUAUGAUGAAACUUAUUCACCCGUUAUGAAUGUGAUUACUUUUCACUACCUUAUCAGUUUGGUAGUUUUCGAAAAACUGGAUAUGCAGCUGAUGGACGUAGUAACUGCGUAUCUCUAUGGGGAUCUUGAUACGAAAAUCUAUAUGAAAGUUCCUGAAGGACUUACAUUGAUUGGUUCAAAUAUUUCCAAACCCCGGAACACGCUUUCAAUUCGGCUGAUGUGUUCACUAUACAGUUUGAAAUAAUCUAGAAGAAUGUGGUAUAACUGUUUGAGUGCAUACUUGACUAGUCAGGGAUAUGUGAACAGCGAACUCUGCCUUUGUGUGUUCAUUAAGAAGUCACAUUCCGGAUUUGCGAUAGUUGCAGUAUAUGUCAAUGACAUGAAUCUUAUCAGAACUCCUAAAGAGCUCGCGAGAACCGCUGCUCACCUGAAGUCAGAAUUUGAGAUGAAAGAUCUAGGUAAGACUCGAUACUGUCUCGGUCUCUAAAUAGAGUAUUGUUCGGAUGAAAUCCUAAUACAUCAAUCGAACUACACCUAGAAGGUAUUGCACCACUUUAAUGAAGAUAAAGCGAAGUCUUCGAGUACUCCUAUGGUCUUUCGUUCGCUAGAUGCAAAACGAGAUCUCUUCCGUCCGAAGGAGGAUGAUGAAGAGAUUUUGGAGCCUAAAGUUCCUUAUCUAAGUGUGAUAGGCGCUUUAUUGUACUUAGCUCAAUGCACUAAACCCGACAUCUCCUUCGUUGUUAAUCUUUUGGCAAGAUACAGUAAUGCACCAACACCCAGACACUGGACUAGCGUGAAAGACAUCUUCCGUUACCUUAAGGGUACUACGGAUUUGGGCUUGUUCUAUCCCUAUGAAUCCUCGAAUGGUGCCUCACCUUAUGCUCCUCGAGUUGAUUCUCGCCUUGUUGGUUAUGCCAACACAUGAUACUUAUCUGAUCUGCACAAGGCGUGCUCUCAAACGGGUUAUGUCUUUACCGUUAGAAGCAUCACAAUAUCUUGGAGGUCAACUAAACCGAUCUUAGUUGCCACUUUGUCUAACCAUGCUGAAAUUCUCACCUUACAUGAAGCAACUCGGGAAUGCUUUUGGUUGAAAGUAGUAAUGGGCCAUAUUCAAAGCUCAUGCGAUCUUUAUCCUGCCGUUGAUGUCCCGACGACGAUCUUUGAAGACUACACAACUUGCAUCGAACAUCUUAAGAAAGGUUAUAUCAAAUGAGACAACACCAAGGACAUUGCGUCAAAGUUUUUCUUUUCACAUCAACAACAAGAGCAUCAGAAGAUUGAAGUCACGCAAAUUUGUUCACAAGACAAUCUGGCCGACCUCUUCAUCAAAUCACUGCCGAAGACGACGUUUCAGAAGCUUGUUCAUGGAAUUGGUAUGCGUAAACUUUCUAAGUUGUAACUUUGCUAUUUCUUUUUGGAAUUAUGUCAAACUCAGGGGGAGUAUCUUGUAGAUACUUGCUUGAUCUUAAUGUACUUUUUUCCCUAUGAUUAGGAGCAUUUUUCCCACUGGGUUUUUGCUACCUAAUUAGGUUUUAACGAGGCACACACCUUGGGCUGGUCAUAUCCCUGAUGACGUCCCGUAGACGUUUAUUUGACUUUUGCAUUUCUCACGCAUUUUUUCUUAGAUUAUGGAUUUUGUCCCUACUCGGGUUUUUGCCAUAGCCUUAGGGUUUUUUUAGUGAGACUUACUACUUAUGCAAGUUUUUACCUUAUUGAGAAUAAGUGUUGUUCUUUAGAAUCAAUGCGAAUGAGUCGACUUCCUCAACUUCUGUAUGAUGCUAAAUCUACCUUGAGUAUUUACACACUCAAGGGGGAAUGUUGGAAACAUUCAUAGUUUAAGUGUGAUUGUGUAAAUCCUAAAUUAGAUUUGAUUCUAGUUAUCAUUUCCUAUUGUAUCUUGUAUUCCUUGCGGAUGAACGAAUAUCUUCUCUCAUUAUAUUACUAUAAAUAAAGGAAAAAUGUAGGAGGGAUAACAACACACAUAUUUCUCUACAUUUCAACAAAUACAUCUCUCUCUCUUCUUAUCCUUGCCGCCGGCCACCCUAAAUUUAUCAGAUAAAAUAGACCACAACAUUACUUUUUUUUUACUUGAACUAGGGUGGAUUCAAAAAAUAAAUUGAACUAAAGUAGAAUAAAAAUGAAUAAAAAAAUCAAAUUGAAAUAGAAAUCCGAACCGAAUUGAAGUACUCAAGUUUCGAUUUCAGCAAUUUGAAAGCUGAACCAAAUUGUCUUAAAACAACGUCGUUCUACAAGUUUUCUUAUAAGGCUAUGUGCUUAAACCCAAAAUUAAUAAACUUUUUUAUCUAUGGCAAUAAACCUUUUUAUUUAAUUUCAUAAAGGCUCACAUCUAAAUACCUCCGAGUAUGGCGCGACAUCAGUGCUUACGUUCUGCAUUGUACAUGAUUGUCUUGUCAGCAAGGUUCUAAAAGACGCUAGCGCUAGUCGGGCGGCGGGCUGGAGCCUAGCACUUUAGCAGUUUGGCGGGGCCUAGGAGAAUUUAAGUAAAUUUAUUAUAUUUCGUGUAAAUAAGUGUUUUUCUACAUAAAAUAUAUGUAAUUACAUCAUAAACUACAAAAUAGAAUGACAUAUAUAUUAUGAAGUAUUGGAAUAUAAUUAAAACAUGGGGAACAAGCAUAUAAUAUGUGUCAUUUAAGCAUUUAACAAGUCUCUUACAAUUUACUGAAAAAAAAUAAAAUGCAAUAUGGAAGUUAUCUAUUUUCUGUCUAAGUAAGUCGCAACCUAGAUGGAUCUGGGAGGGUUAGGCGGGUGCCUAGGCGGUUUAGGCUGACGCCUCAGCAGGUCUAGGGCCCUUUCUUAAUUUCCAAACGCCUAUGCAUUAAUUGGAGCAGUGACCAACCGCUUAGUGUCGAGACGGGGCCUAGGAGGCGCUAAGCGGGGAUUUUUAGAAUAAUAGUUGAACCGCUUCUUGAUCAUAAAACUCUUGUGCGACGGUAUUUUUGCAGACUUGGAGAACCCCUACGAAGUUUACAGCACAUACUUCUCUCAUCCUCCUUGCUAUGAUUUUUCAUAUUUUAUUUUUUAUUUUUUUAACCAAUUUUCAAAUUUGUUAAAAAAUAUCUGACUCGAAAAAAUAGAACUGGAAACAAACCCCAAAAAAAAAAAAAAAAACUGAAGAAAACAAAAUCGAACCAAACCAAAAAAUAAUUUCCAUUUGGUUUUUCGGUUUUGGCAAACAACCGAACCGAAUGAACCAAAUCCACCCUUAACUUUAACAUUAAAUUUCUUAGGCGUUCAUAAAAGCCGAAUUUUCAUGUCUUUCGACAUAUAACGAUAGUGUGUUCGGUCUUAAAGGGUGUGCCAAUAGAUGUUAGUCUCAAAAUCUAUCUCAAUUGCAAAGCUGAGGAUUUCGAAAUCUCUUGGUCCUUCAAGUUUGUGUUGCGGGCAUGCUAACUUGCAGCUUGGAGGCCAAUCGAGUAAAAUGUAAUUGGCGCUUUGUUUGACUUCUUUCAAAACCAUUGUGCAUACUGAGGAAGGAACGCAUCUCGGUUGUGCAUCCUUGUGCCUUAUGUGCAAGGACUUUGAUGGGUCUUGUUACAUGAUGUGUGAAUUCGUAUGUUUUUGUGAUAGGCGAGAAAUACAUAAGGUCGAGAUAUUCGCAUGUGAUAGAUACGAUGAAUGUGUAGUGGAUUUGGUUAUCAGGGUGUGGUAGGUGACCUGAGUGCUACGAUGAAUCGUAUAAAUCCAAGCAAACUGGUUGUGGGGAUUGAUUUGAAAAGGAACUCAAAUGUAAACUAUAAUAAUCUAAAUUAAAAUUUGAAGUGCGAGGUGGAAAAUAAAUCGAAAUAUACAAAAUUAAAAUACUGAUAUAGACUUUAAAUUACUGUAUUGAAGUGCAGGGCAAACAUGGAAUUAAAGCGAAUAACAAAAAAUAAUUAAAAAGAUAAAUUUUACCUAGUGUAGAAUGGAAAGCGAGUGAUAUAAUGCAAAAAUAUGGUUCGUGAUGUGAAUUUAAACCAACCUAGUAAAAAGAUUAAUUCAAACUAAAUUUAAUCGCAAGUGCAUGAAUCAAUUAUGGUAGAAAUUUAUAUAUACUACAUCGAAUCCACCGGGGUUGAAUUACCAAUUGAGUCUAUAACUAGUACUUAACAAAUUGAAAUAAAGAUUGGACUUGUAUCAAAGAAAAAUUAAACCUACACAAUGACUAAACAGAAAUAUGGUUGAAACAAAUGUAAGAAAACACUAAGGUUUUGAUUCCACCACUAUUGUCGUACCCUAAUAUCUAAUUGUGAAUUCAUGAAUUAUUAGAUAUUAACAAAAAUAACUUAUGUACACAUGUACGUGGUCAGAUACACAUGUUAAUAAUUUCCCAAAGAGAUGUGAGUUUUACCAUGGUUAGGCUUAAACCCCAGUUAUUCCUACCAUCUAUAUAUCCGUAGUUCGGUAUACACAAACAAGCGAAAAUCCAAUUAAGCACAAUGAGAAACAAAUUAACUACUCAUUAACUUAGUCACGUUAAACAAAUAGCUAAUUUACAAGGAAGUCACACAAACCAAUAUUCAUCUAUGGUCAAAUCAAAAUACAAGUUCAUGAUUCUCAUUCUCAAAGAAUAUAUAGAAUCCAAUUCAUGAUCAGAAAUAAAUUCAUAUGUAACUAAUUUCAAUAUCAAAAUUCUAGGCUAUGGUCAAGCACAAAGAACCAAAUAUCAAUUCAACUGGUGAAUGAAAAUUAAUCACCAAUCUGAAAUCCAUGGAUUGAACAAUUAUAAAACUAGAGUAAUCAUAAUUAAUUCCAAUCUGAUCAAAAGUCAAGAAUGCCCAAUUCAUCUUGCUGUACUCAAAACCAGACGAACUGGAAAUAGAAUUGGUAAAGUAACUUCCCAUCGUUCUCUGCUUUCACUUGACUAAAACUCCAACGGUGGGAUUAUAAAAUUGCAUCCACUCUCACCGCUUAAUUGUCGAUCGGUAGUUUCCAAAAAAAACAAAAAAAAUAGGGUAAAUUACACUUUCAUAUAUCAGGUUUGGGGUAUAUUUCAAUUCCUUACAACAUCUUUAAAACAUUUCACUUUCAUACCUUAAGUACUAUUUUAUUUCAAAAUAAUACAUCCGUUACAUUUUCCAUUCAUUGAUUUGUUAAAUGCUAACGUGGCUGCCGCAUAUAUGUCAUGUGGCCGCCAAAUGUGAAGAAGAAGAAGAAUAAGAGGGAGGAAGAAAAGAAAAAAAAAAUUGAAACGAAACCCACAUCUGUGAUGAGAAGAAGGAGAAGGAGAAAAAGAAGGAAGAGGGAGGAGGGUCGCCGGGCCAAGAGGGGGGGACCGGAGGUGGGUCACUGGCGGGGGGGGGGAACAAAUAUUUUCUUCUUCUUCUUCUUCUCUGUCGCUGGGGUGGGGGGGGGGAGGGAGGAGGGUUGCCGGGCUGAGAAGGGGGACGGGAGGAGGGUCGCUGGGCGGGGGGGGGGACAAAUUUUCUUUUUCUUUUUCUUUCUUUUGGGUCGCUUGGGGGGGGGGGACAAUUUUCUUCUUCUUCUUCUUCUUCUUCUUCUUCUUCUUCUUCUUGUAGAUGUAGGUUUCAAUAUAUUUUUUUUUUUGAGAAAAUUCAGGUUUAAAAAAAAAAAAACUAUUUUAUUUGCCACGUGGCAGAUAUUUGGCAGCCACGCCAGAAUUUAACAGAUCAAUGGAUGAAAAAUGUAACGGAGGUAUUAUUUUGAAAUAAAAUAGUACUUAAGGUAUGAAAGUGAAAUGUUUUAAAAAUGUUAUAAGGAAUUGAAAUAGACCCUAAACCUGAAGUAUGAAAGUGUAAUUUACCAAAAAAAAUUUGUUCGGUUGAAAUCUCUCAUCCGUAAAUAAUAACAAAGCCCACGUCAGCACCAGCACUUGGUUCAAAUAAUUAGAACUCACAUGGCCAAUUGAUCUUGAGCUCAAAAUCAAAUAAUAAUUAAUUAAAUAAAUGAAGGGUAUAAUAUAGUCCUGUUCAGAAUUAUAGUCUUGCAAAAAAAAUAUUUUUAAUGAACAUAGUCAUGCCAUACUCAUAUGUCAUCUUCAAUGUUCAACAAUUUAUUAGUUUUAAGUUUAUACUUUAAAUUUAGUGGUUAAUUAAAUAAAAUUACUGUUGGUUGUUUUCAAAUAUAACCGUUGAGUUUGAAUCAAUUAUUCUAACUGAAAAAUAAAACUCUAAAAAAAGCAAAGAGGGAGCUCCAUUUAGCUAGCCUGAUGCCUCUUUGACAUUUCAAGCUCAAGAUUUGAACUUGGAAACUCUAUUCUUGCUUCAUCAUGGGCACUAAUUUUGUUAACUUUCUCAGACUCCGCUGGACCAUGAACAUGGUAAGAAAAUAAAUUGGCUCCCUUGGAUUAGGACGUGUUCGAACUCGAGUGGCCGACUUGUAAAUUAACUCAAGCUAGCGCACUAACUUGACUUUAACGAGAGAUGACAAAUCUAGGUCCAAACAUUACCCCGAUUCUCAUGAGCCUCGGCUUAGAAUUGCAAGUCUUUCUUACUUGAACCCAAUACGCCUAAUCAUCAAUGCUUCUCAAGUAAUUCAAGUUUCGCCAGCAGCUUGAGCGGAAGCUUCCCCGCAGUGAAGUGACCGUUUUACCCUUUUAAGUCCACGCUUCCCUCAUCGGUCUUCCUUCCUAAAUAUAUUGAUCACUAUUGCAAGUCUUUCUUUAUGUUUUUUAAUUCAACCCAACGACUCCAAUACGCCUAAUUACCAAAGCUUUUAAAUUAAUUAAUAUUUUAAGUUUCCGCAUGAAGAUGCGUGCAGUGCAGCUUGAGAGGAGGCUUCCCCCGCAGGUAUUUAGAAUGCAUCUGUGUGGAAGAUCCAAUGUCUGUUCUGCAUCUUAAUCUGCACGAUUAAAUUCAGUGGUUGUUAAUUUUACAUAUCAUGAUCAAUCCGCUAAUUUUCCAUAUCUCAAGUGUGAAGGGCAAGCAAUUUAAAGUUCCUCCUGUUCAAAUCACCCAGAACCCAGGUUGCUAGCUAGGUUUUGUGUUCAAAUUUCGUUUUUGUUAUUUAUUUCGUUUUCUUUUCGGCGUUUGAAGGCCUCUGUGCUGAGGCUCAGUGAUAGCAGUGGUGAGUUUCUUUUUCAGAGAUUCCUUCUUCCCAGUAAUAUAUCAAUUAUUUAGGUCUGUUAGGGUUUUUUUAUUGCCAAGUUUUAUACAACAUAGUUAGUGAAGACACAGGUAUUUGAGAAAUAUUUAAUGGCAUGGCAGAUAUUUCUCAGCAAAACUGAGAGAGUAGUUAUAUUUUGUUUAAAUAUUUGUAUAGUUUUUGGUAGGGAUUAGCUUUAUGGCACUCCAGAUCUUCAGCGACUGAUCAGAGCCUAUUACCAAUCUGCUGCUACUCUAAACCUUCUCAGGGUGUUCGUCACCGGAACUUACGCAUCUAUGCAGAGGGUAGUGGAACUUGGAUUUUACAGAUCACAGCGAGCAGGGUGAUAGGUUUGUUUCCUCAUUUUUACCAUUUUAGAACUUAGAUUAGUGAUAAAUUAAUUCGAAUCAUGUGGCAUGAACUUAAACCUCUGUUUGGCAAAGUGGGCUCUUUACCCCCAAAGUUGCUUGCUUUUGGUAAUAUUUGGAAUUGUGCUUCUAAGCUGUUUUUCAAGCUUUUGGCCAUACUAAAUGGAGCUAAAUCGAACAGCUCUUUUGCUGCAUUGUAUUUGCUUUCCUAAAUCGAUUUUUUUUUUUUUUUAAAUUGUCAAUGGGUUUUGUAGAUCAAAGUUCUUCAGGAUGAAAAUUAUGUUUCAAAUUGGAUUGCGAUAUGAAUAUUUACACAAUCAAGGUGUUGAAUUCAUCUUUGUUUUGGUGUAUUGUGGUUUUGAAUGUUAUUUAGUGCAUUAUAGCGUCAACUAAAAUGUAGUUUUGUAUAUUUUAAGUACUCAUUUUGAUUUUGAGCAGUAAGAGAGAGAUUUAGCACGUAUUUGAGGAAAUAAGAACAACUUAUUUUGAAAUGGCUAGAGUUUGAGAUUCUCAGAAGGAAGCUCCUAUAAGAUUUUGGUUUUUGGUGUUGAUUCGAAUGAGUUUCAGUUUGAUAUUUAUUAAUUUUUGUUUUGUGGGUAGUAUUUUUCUUCAUGUUGCUAAGAUUUUGGUUCAUGCAGUUUUAAUUAGGAAUCUGAAUAAUCGUUUUAAUUUUGGUUAAUGCAGGAUUAGGAAUUUAGGAUUCCUAUAAGUUUGUGGCGGGAGGGUGGAGUGGUUUCAAGACGACAUCGUUGAUAGUCGAGGCUCAUCUGUGAAAAAUGUAAGAUUUUGUGUGGGUUGUUUUGUUUUGUUAUUCCAAAAGCGUAACACUUCAGAUGCUGUAAGUAUGAGUUAAUCGUUGUAUUUUUAAUUCAAUGUUUUAUUUGUUUGCUUAGUACCCGAGAAGACAAAGGAAAGUAAACAAGGAAAAUUGGAUUUUUAAUUCACUGUUGUAUUUUUAUUCACUGUUUUAUUUGUUUACUAAGCCUGAACUUCACUCUUUUCCAUCUACUUACAAUUGAUUUCAGUUUUUAGGUUCAUGCUGUCACAGCAAUCAUUUACAUGUUUGAAACAUAAGUUUUCAUACAAUUUUUAAUCCCGCAGCAAUGCGCGGGCACCAUUAACUAGUGUUUACUAAGCCUAAACUUCACUUUUUUCCAUCUACUUACAAUUGAUUUCAGUUUUUAGGAUCAUGUUGUCACAACAAUUCCUCCACCACUCUUUAAUCCUCAUUUCUUCCAUGUAUUUCCAUUUCUUCCAUGUAUUUCCAUUGUGUAUCUAACAAAAAAUGAAAACUAAAAACGGAAAGGUUAACAAAUGGGCUCCUACUUAUUCAAACCUGUCCAGUGCACUAUAAAUUUGAUGACUUGCAAUAAGAAACCGAGUAAGUUCUCCUGUCUUUAUGUCUCUCAUUAAGUCCCAAUGAAUCCGACUGCUACCCAUUUGUUUUAAGCAACAAAACAUAGUUAGCUCAGUAGUGGUACCUCACUGGUCAGUACAAUUAACUCCCUAACCUCGCUCUCACACAACAGUUUUCUUUAGUUUUCCAAAUCCUAGCUAUUUUUUGCUCCUUCGUUUCUAAUUAAUAAAUUUCGUUGUUGAUGUUGUACUGUUAUCGAAGAGGCGUUUGCUUUCUCAAAAGUUGGGCUGCUUAGAGAUCACGAGGGUUGAUCUCAGAAAUCGAAGAGGCGUUUGCUUUCUCAAAAGUUGGGCUGCUCAAAGACCACGAAGGCCGAUCUCAGAAAUCGAAGAGGCGCUCGCUUUCUCAAAAGCUGGGCUCCCCAGAGACCACGAGGGCCGAUCUCAGAAAUCGAAGAGGCACCUACUUUUCCAGCCUUGUCAGCACCUGUCACACGCACACUCAGCUUUGCGGAAAUUAUGGGCAUUCUGUCAAAGACUUCUGGGGAAGUAGAAAACACAUGAAUCUUACUGUUCAAUCACCCACUUCCCACACGCAACAAUAGCUCAUGGGCUCAUGGGUACCACAGAUAACUUUGCCAAAGUUCUCUGCCAAAGUUGAGCACGUGAAGCUUGCAGCUCCCACUACAUCGCUCUGACCAAGAAGGGUAAAAGAAUAGCAAAGAAACAGCACUAACAAAGUUUAGACACAUAAAUUUUGAAGGUCUAGCUACCAUAUUAUUACCCACAAGGGUAAAGGAACAGUACCACUGCUGGAUAAUUGGAAAGUCCCUGUGUGUCAACCUCUGUGCUUCGUGGCAAGGUAGACUAGCAAACAUGCCCAACCUUUACUCACAUUCGAGAAAACACUCCCAAUAAGAUUGCUUGCUCCAAAAUCGAAGAGGCACUAUCCUCCGAAUCUAAAGAGCCAGACUCCCAACAUGACUACUUUCUUAAAAAUCGAAGAGAGGGUAAAGGAACAGUACCAUUGCUGGAUAAUUGGAAAGUCCCUGUGUGUCAACCUCUGUGCUUCGUGGCAAGGUAGACUAGCAAACAUGCCCAACCUUUACUCACAUUCGAGAAAACACUCCCAACAAGAUUGCUUGCUCCAAAAUCGAAGAGGCACCGCCCUCCGAAUCUCGAGAGCCAGACUCCCAACAUGAUUACUUUCUCAAAAAUCGAAGAGACACUGCUCCCCGAAUCUCGAGAGCCAGACCCCCAGCAUGAUUGCUUUCUCAAAAAUCGAUGAGGCAUCGUUCUCCGAAUCAAUCGAAGAGGCGCUCGCUUUCUCAAAAGCUGGGCUGCUCAGAGACCACGAGGGUCGAUCUCAGAAAUCGAAGAGGCACCUACUUUUCUAGCCUUGUCAGCACCUGUCACACGCACACUCAGCUUUGCAGAAAUUAUGGACAUUCUGUCGAAGACUUCUGGUGAAGUAGAAAGCACAUGAAUCUUACUGUUCAAUCACCCACUUCCCACACGCAACAAUAACUCAUGGGUACCACAGAUAACUUUGCCAAAGUUCUCUGCCAAAGUUGAGCACGUGAAGCUUGGAGCUCCCACUACAUCGCUCUGACCAAGAAAGGUAAAAGAAUAGCAAAGAAACAGCACUAACAAAGUUUAGACACAUAAAUUUUGAAGGUCUAGCUACCAUAUUAUUACCCACAAGGGUAAAGGAACAGUACCACUGCUGGAUAAUUGGAAAGUCCCUGUGUGUCAACCUCUGUGCUUCGUGGCAAGGUAGACUAGCAAACAUGCCCAACCUUUACUCACAUUUGAGAAAACACUCCCAACAAGAUUGCUUGCUCCAAAAUCGAAGAGGCACCGUCCUCCGAAUCUCGAGAGUCAGACUCCCAACAUGACUACUUUCUCAAAAUCGAAGAGAGGGUAAAGGAACAGUACCAUUGCUGGAUAAUUGGAAAGCCCCUGUGUGUCAACCUUUGAGCUUCGUGGCAAGGUAGACUAGCAAACAUGCCCAACCUUUACUCACAUUCGAGACAACACUCCCAACAAGAUUGCUUGCUCCAAAAUCGAAGAGGCACCGCCCUUCGAAUCUCGAGAGCCAGACUCCCAACAUGAUUACUUCCUCAAAAAUCGAAGAGACACUGCUCUCCGAAUCUCGAGAGUCAGACCCCCAGCAUGAUUGCUUUCUCAAAAAUCGAAGAGGCAUCGUUCUCCGAAUCUCGAGAGCCAGAUACCACAGACCACUUUUUCAAAGUGUUCUGACAGAGUUAAAACAUGUGAAACUGGCAGCUCCCACUACCGUGCUAUGACCAAGCAGGGUAAAGGAAUAACAUUACUACUUGUUGUUAGGGAGACUCCUAUAUAUGUCGACCUCCAUCCCCAAUAGACAGGCAGACCUGCAAAAAUGCUCAACCCUUCAUCAUAUCUGAGAGGGCACUCCCAACGAAGCCUUUCGAAAUAUUCAGCUUUCUUUCCCCCCGAUAAUACCUCUGCAAACAAGCUAUACUAGAGCAAGAAUAUCUCAUAUCAUCAGGGUUAAAAGCAAGAGUAUCCCAUAUCAUCAUGCUUUUUCCCUGUCUUUUCUUUUGGCCUUGUUUUUACCUGCAAGACAAGGAGAAAGAGAGCAAUCAGUCAGCACUUGGAAUUAAGCUUCCAGCCAGGAACUGACUGCCUGGAACCCCUUACCUGAUUACUUACCUGGCAUUGCUCUCGAGUACUCAUCUUCAACAUCUUAUGUUUCCAGGGAAGAUUCCGCAUCUGCUUGAGGAACAGAUAGGGCAAGUGCGAAGGAUACAAGGAAGCAUGUGGAGACAAGCGUAACAGCACCCGUGCCGAUACAUCCAUUACUCUGUCAAAAGCAAAAGUAUCCCAUAUCAGCAGGGUGGAACGUACUCUAGAUUUGAUGGACUUGUUUUGACCCUCAAAUUCUUCAGUCGGCCUUAUACUCUGGAGGAAACCAGAAAACCCUCCAGCUCAGUUCAAGAAUAAGCCUGUGGAAAGUUACUUCUUCAAAAGCAAAAGUAUCUCAUAUCAUCUCUUCUCAUUUUUCUUCUCUUUAUCCUUCAUGCUGCUGCAAGAUGGGGAGAAGGUGAACAAUCAGUCGGAGCUCUGAUUGCUUACCUUGUCUCUCACCUCUUUCAGCAGACCCCCUAGCUCGGCGACUUGGGGGACUCCUACUACAUGGUUUGUAUCGCGCUUGACCAAGCCUGAAACUACAAGUAAGCUUCAAGUGAAAUUGAUACAUUACCUUGUGCAUCUCCACCAGUUAAAGAUACCACCCCUGGAUGGAGGAAGAGUACUUCCAGAGAAGAUGCCACAUCUACCUAUGAGACAGAUAAGGCAAGUCAAGACGACACCACACUCCGAUACUUAGAAGUUUUGUGAUUACGAGAUCAUUCUCCCACAAUAUUUCCUAAUGUCAUUUGUACUAAAUCAUUCACUUGUACUCACUAAAAGAGAGCUUGAACCUAUGUACUUGUGUAAACCCUUCACAAUUAAUGAGAACUCUUCUAUUCUGUGGACGUAGCCAAUCUGGGUGAACCACGUACAUCUUGUGUUUGCUUUCCUAUCUCUAUCCAUUUAUAUACUUAUCCACACUAAUGACCGGAGCAAUCUAGCGAAGAUCACAAAAAGCGACCGUUUUCGCUACCUAGGAUCUAUCUUGCAAGAGAACGGAGAAUUAGAUGGAGAUCUCAACCAUAGAAUACGAGCUGGAUGGAAAGAGUGCAUCCGGCGUGUUGUGUGACCGUCGUAGGCCACUGAAGCUUAAGGGAAAAUUUUAUAGGACGGCAAUAAGGCCAGCGAUGUUGUAUGGCACAGAAUGUUGGGUGGUGAAGCAUCAACACGUACACAAAAUGGGUGUAGCGGAGAUGAGGAUGCUUCGUGGGAUGUGUGGGCACACGAGAAAGGAUAAGAUUGGGAAUGAGGAUAUUCGAGGUAAAGUAGGAGUAGCCGAAAUUGUAGGAAAGAUGAGAGAAAAUCGGCUCCGGUGAUUUGGACAUGUGCAAAGAAGGCCGACUGACGCUCCGGUUCGAAGAUGUGACUACGGGACAGAGGUUCAGGGCCGAAGGGGUAGAGGAAGACCUAGGAAAACUUUGGAAGAGACUCUAAGAAAAGACUUAGAGUACUUGGAUCUAACGGAGGACAUGACACAAAACCGAGCGCAAUGGCGUUCUAGGAUUCAUAUAGCCGACCCCACUUAGUGGGAAAAGGCUUUGUUGUUGUUGUUGUUGUUGUUGAUGUUGUACUGUUAAAGAGGCACUAAUGUCUAAAAUGAUCAGGUAUGUUUUUAAAGCAUGUAUAUAUUCUUUGUAGUUUAGAAUUGGCAAUAUCCAAAAUGCUACCAUUUAUACAUUAAUGCGUCUGUGUGGGGUCUUUCUCGUGUAUUCUGAACAAGAUGAAGCCAAGACACAAACAGCAAUAAAAAGAUAGAAAACAACGGAUGUUUGCCACUUUGUAGUGUAUUUGUAAAGCUUCAUUUAUAUUUUGUGUUUUCUAUGCAGUAGAGAAACAGAGGUCGCACUUGGUGCGAUGGCAAGUGCCUUCGCCCAUAAGCGGUAGGUCUCGGGUUCGAGACUUGGGAGCAGCCUCUCCAUAAAAUGGGGGUAAGGCUAGCCGACAUUCACCUCUCCCAGACCCUGCGUAAAGCGGGAGCCUUGUGCACUGGGUACGACCUUUUUUAUGCAGUAGAGAAACCACAUAACAGAAGAAAACUUCUCGUCUACCAAACAUCCAAGAGGCAAGUCUUAAAAUGAUGAUGAAUCCUUUCAGGAGUACGAUGGCGAUGAGCACUGGAGAAACCUGUACACCUUUCCCUGCUUCAGCUUCUCAAUGGAAAUAUGAUGUGUUUUUGAGUUUUAGAGGUGAAGACACUAGAAAGGGAUUCACAGACCACUUACACACUGCAUUGGAAAGUCAUGGAAUAAUAACUUUUAGGGAUGACCCUAAACUUCAUAAAGGGGAAUCUAUUUCUCCAGGACUUCUUACUGCAAUUGAACAAUCAAGAUGUGCACUCAUCGUUCUCUCAGAAAAUUAUGCAUCAUCAUCAUGGUGCUUGAUUGAACUUUUACAUAUUCUUAAGUGCAUGGAAGCAAGAGCAGCAGUGCUACCAAUUUUUUAUAAUGUUGAUCCCUCUGAUGUACGAAAGCAAACAGGACGUUUUGCAGAAGCCUUCAUUAAAUAUGGAAACAACCCUGGGGCUGACGAAAAGGAGGUGGAAAGUUGGAGAUAUGCUUUAAUGAAAGUGGCAAAUUUCUCCGGGUGGGAUUCAAGGGACUGGUAACAUUUUGAUUUUUCUCGCAACCGUGUCCUCCUUAUAUAAUGACACACACACCCACACACACCCACACCCACACACCCACACCCCUUGUGUGACUUCUGUUUGAGGAAUAGAAAUAGAGCCAAUUAUAUCACAAAUUACAAUGGACAUAGCUAUAAAUGCCAUUAAACGAAUUCCAUCUAUAGUUCGAUAACUCUUAUACAAUGCACAUCAUAUCUAGGUGUGUGAUUAUUGUGUUUUGACUUGACUCAAUGCAAAAAAUAGUAAAAACAUUUUGGAACUUAUAUAUCUAACUAUUCUUUUCCAUAGGUAUGAAGCAAGGCUUGUCAAAGAUAUUGUUCAAGUGGUAUGGAAAAAGUUGCGCCCAACAUUAUCAUGUCAUGUGGGAGACAUUGUUGCCAUCGAUUCAAGGUCGAAACCAGUUAUUAAUUUGUGUUUAGAUGCAACGUUGAAUGAUGGUUGCUUUAUUGGGAUAUGGGGGAUGGGCGGUAUUGGUAAGACAACUAUUGCAAGAGUUGUGUACGAGAGAAUCUCUCAUGAGUUUGAAUUCCAAAUAUUUCUAGCUGAUGUUAGAAGUACUGUCGAACAAGGUGGUCUACCUCACCUGCAAAAGCAACUUCUUUGUAAAAUCGGGAUGGAAGAAAAUGACAAAUGGGAUGUUCAAGAAGGAGCAGCAAUCAUACGCAGGUUCCUAUGUGGCAAAAAGGUUCUUUUAGUUCUUGAUGAUGUGAACCAUUUGCAUCAAUUAGAAUAUUUGGCUGGAAAUCAAGAGUGGUUUGGAUUGGGGAGCAGAGUUCUCAUUACAACUAGAGAUGAGCAUUUGCUACUUAAACACGGAGUGGAGAGACGGUUUGAGGUUAAAGGACUCAAUAACGAUGACUCUCUUCAACUUUUUAGCCGGAAUGCCUUUAAGAAAGAUUGCCCUGAACCUUGUUUUGUUCAUUUGUCAAAUCGUGUGGUAAAUUAUGCCAAAGGUCUUCCACUAGCUCUUAAAGUCUUGGGAUCUUUUUUGUACGGAAGAGAUUUAAGUUCAUGGAACAAUGUGUUGGAUAAACUAAGAGAAAUUUGUAAUUCAGAAGUUUUUGAGACACUUAAAAUAAGUUACGAUGCUCUAGAUGACAAUGAGAAGAAAAUUUUUCUAGACAUUGCAUGUUUCUUUAAUGGAGAGGAAAAAGAUGGAGUAAGACAGGCACUUGAAGCUAGUGGUUUUUAUGCACAUAUUGGAAUAGAUGUCCUUAUUGAGAAAUCUCUCUUAACUGUUAAUUCAGUCGGUCAGCUGUCGAUGCAUGAUUUACUCCAAGAAAUGGGUCAAGAAAUUGUCCGUCGAGAGUCUCCUGAUGAUCCAGGCAAGCGUAGCAGGUUGUGGCGUACAGAUGACAUCAAUCGUGUCCUGAGCGAAAAUGCAGUAAGAGGCUCUUAUUACAGUACUGGAUUUGAUUGCACUAGUUAUGCUUUGCUUAUGUUAUGACCUAGAAUAUAUUCAUGUUGACCAGGGAACAGAAACAAUUGAAUGUAUAAUCAUGGACCCAGAUGAGCUAGGAGCAGUCCAAGUGAAUGCUAAAUCCUUUUCAAUGAUGAAAAAUCUGAGAUUCCUCCGGCUAUAUAAUGAGAACCUCUUUAACAGGCUUGAAUAUCUUCCCAAUAGUUUGCAGUUUCUUCAAUGGUGCAGCUUUCCUCUAAAAACUUUGCCGUCAUCUUUUUGUCCAGAGCAUCUAGUGGAACUUCACAUGGUGUAUAGUAGCCUUGAACAUCUUUGGAAGGGAAUAAAGGUAAUUCUCUCACUCAUUGAUUUUUAUUAACUACAUUAACAUCAUGCACUGCUAAUUUUGCUAUGUUUUCACAUGAUAACAGCAUGCGUACAAUUUGAAAAUCCUUGAUCUUAGUGAGUCUCCAGUUCUUGUGGAAACUCCAGACUUCAGAGGUAUGCCAAAUCUGGAGUAUCUGAAUCUUUCACUUUGCGACCAAUUGUAUGAAGUUGACCAGUCUCUGGGGACACUUGAAAGACUUCAGGUUCUGAUGUUGAUUGGUUGCAGAAACCUUGCGCAUCUUCCAAGAAGUGUAUCUGGUUUAAAGUCUCUGAGAGUUCUUGAUGUUUAUGGUUGCUCAAGGCUUAAAAAUUUGCCAGAAGACUUGGGCCAUGUUGAGAGUUUGGAACGGCUUGAUGUGUGUGGAACUGCUAUAACUGAACCACCUUCUUACAUUGGUCUUUUUAGGAACCUGAAGAAAUUAUCAUUCGACAGUUUUACAAAAUAGAAGUUCAAGUUGGCCACAUUUGUGGUUGUCUUCUUCAUCUGGUUGGCAAUCUUUAACGCACUUGAGUCUACGAGACUGCAAGAUUUUGGAUGGAGGAAUUUUAAAUGAUAUCGGCUGCCUCUCCUCAUUAAGGCAUUUGGUUCUAGCCCGAAAUCCUCUUUCUAGCUUACCCAUGAGUAUUUGUCAACUCUCCAAACUUGAAUACCUUGAUGUGUCUGGUUGCUACUGUCUUCAAACAUUAAUCCCAGAGCUUCCUUCUGCAAUAUCUUUUGUUAACGCUUCCAAUUGCACGGCAUUGGAAUCAGCUCGUGUAGACAUGAUUAAGCUUUUUGCUAACUGUUUCAAGCGGGUGGAGAAGCAAGUUUGCACGAGUAUGAUAUUUGAUUGUCUAGGAUGCAAGUUUGUGGUUCCUGGAAGUGAAAUUCCAGAGUGUCAUGUUAUAUGAAUUUGGUUGAUUCAUGUUUCUCUCACUUCAUAAAAUUUGCUUCUAAUUUGAUAUAGGAAUUAAUUUGGAAAGUUUUCUUAAUCUUAAUAACAAUUUUCAAUUUAAAUAUAUUUUUUAAUGAAAUAGUCUAUCUUUUAAAAUAUUUAUCAAUAAAAUAAUGUACCUAUAUAUAUAUAAUUUUUUUUUUGCCAACUAUAAAUUUUUACCAUAAUUUACCUAUAUAAUAAUGUACCUGUUAUUUAAUUUUUACAACACUAAUGUAUCUUAAAAAUAAUUUACUUAUUGUUUAGUUUUAGCAAAAAUAAUUUACCUACUGUGUAUAAUUGGUGAAGCUAAUGAUGUACAUAUUGUUUAAUUUUUUAAAAAUUAAUGUAUGUACAAAAAUAAUUUAUCUAUUGUUCAAAUUUUAGGAUAAAAAUUUACAUGUUUUUAUUUAACAAUAAUGUAUCUACAAUUUUAUUUUUGUAUGAAUAUAAUUUACCUACUUUUUAAUUUUAUAUGAAACUAAUUUACCUACUGUGUCAGUAAUAUAUCUACAAUUUUACAUACAAUAUUUACCUUUUUUUUUUCUCACAACAAUAGUGUAUCUACAAUUUUGUUUUUGUAUGAAUAUAGUUUACCUACAAUUUAACUUUUCAAAAAAUGUAUCUUCUAUUUUAUAUUUUACUAUCAUAUAUAUGUUUCUGUGUUCGCAAAAUAAUUUAUCUAAAGUUAUAUAGUUAAGAGAUAUGCUAAUGAAUUAUAUUAAUUCAUUAUUAGACUGAUAUAAGAAAUUGUUAAAAACGUUAGUUAUAAUGGUUGGCUAAUAAUGGUUGUAUGAGAACAGUUAUAGAAAGUUGUGGCAUAAAUUGUAAAUAACUUAUAUUAAUAGGUUAUUUAUUUUCUUAUGUGGUAAUUUAUUUAAAUUUUGGGUUUUGAUUGAAUGUUUAUUCAUAAGUGGGUUUUUAUCUGAAGUAUAUGAGUUGUAUGGGUCUAUAUCUAAACAACCCUUAAUUUUAUUCAGUAAGCAUAAACACUUUACACUUCAUAUACAGCCUAAAACAAUAGAGCAAUAUAAGAAACUGUUGAAAGCAAACAUUAAAUUUGCGAUUACCCCAAUCUUCUACUUGAUCAUAUACCAAGUUAUUGAAGCUGACAUUUUUUAUUCUAUAAGCUUAGAAAUCAUAAGAAAAACAAUUGUUGAGUUGAUAGUAAUCUCAAAUAGCAAUCUCUAACAAAAAUUUGACCAUAAAAAAUGUAUAUCCAUCUCCCAAUCAGUAUCAAUCUUCAUCCUCAACAAAAAGUUUCAGUUUUUCUUGCAAAAACACACAUACCCCAGUGCUUAGUUUUCCAAAGAUUAUAACCAAAUGGUUCAGCUGCUAGUGUUGGUGCCCGAAGCGCUGAACUGAAAUGCACCCACUAGAAAUCCAAAUAAACAACCCUGCAAAGCAACUAAACUAAUUUCAGCAAUUCUACCUAAACAUAAAUAGAACAAUUACACAAACCUUACAAUCAAAGGUCUAAUUUUUCAACUACAUACAACAAACUCAGAUCAUUUAGGUGUGAAUCAAAAUCAUAAAUACCCAAGCCUAAAAUAGAGACUUUAAAGACCUAUUUGAAAUUAAUAUCAUGUAUGCUUUUAGUUUCUAAUUAUAAUGGAAAUGACAUGGAAAAUAUAUUCAUUGAAACACUAAAUGAACAACACAAUAGUAUCACACCACAAAUUCCCAAUUACAGUGAUACAUGCUUGAUCACACAAACUUUCUGUUCAGCAAUCCGAUUAUGAAACCACCAAGUCUAAGGAGUUUUAUAACUAAAAUUCUAGUGGGUAAAGGGUGACAACAUUUUUGAAGUAAAAUUAAAGAUCACUAAACAUAUAUUAGUACAAAUAAAGAUAUACCCAACACACAAGAUCACAAAAGAAGAACUUUUACUUGAGCAGCACAAAAGGACAUCCUCUGCAUUUCAUUCAAAAUCCAACAAUCUGAGCUCAAAAUAAUUCAAAAAUUGUGUGUGAAACUCACUUAUCACUCAAAAUGAUUCAAGAAACUUUUACCUUACCAUAUAUUUGGAGUGCAGUGAGGCUUUGAGAGUUGACACUGUUCAGUGCUCAUCAAGAAUUGUGUAUCAUACUCACUUAUCACUCCCCUAUAUAGGAAAAGAAGGCCAUAAGUAUUAUGGACAUAAGUAAUAUGAAUAUUUUCCUUUUUAUUUCUCUCUCAUGAGGAAUUCCUAUGCAAGGGCCUUUAGCUAAAGUGUUUAAAAACAUUUAUCGUACUCGAGUCCUAAGUUUGAUUCUAGAAGUUAUUGAAAUUUCGAAGACGAUGUGGAAUGCAAUAACAGAUCGAUGUUACUCUUUUUCCUUCCAAGCAAGAUUUUGAUGAGGCCACUCAAAAUUGCUUCAUUUCAAUUUUCAAUGAAUAUUCUACUUUUUUUCGAAAAAAAAAAAAAGGUAAAUUACAUGGUAGCCCCUCAUGUUUGAGGUCUAUUACAACUCCAUACAACAUCUUUAAAACAUUUAACUUUCAUACCUCACGUACUAUUUUAUUUCAAAAUAAUACUUCUGUUACAUUUUUUAUCUAUUGAUCUGUGAAGCACUGACGUGGCUGCCACAUUUGUGCCACGUGGCAAACAAUUUUUUUUUAAUUAUUUAAAAAAAAAACCUGAAUUUUCUCAACCAAAAAAAAAAAUUAAUAAAAAAAGAAAAAAAGAAAAAAAAGAAACCCAUCCCAUUUCCUCGCAACCCCUCUCUCCUCUCUCUCUACGCACAGAGCUAUCAACCAACAACAAUGGGAAUCUCAGUCCCCAGCUUUUUCAAAGAGCGAAAGUUCUCUUUCAUUUUCACACUUUUACUCCCACUUGCCUGCAUCACCAUCCUCCUCUUCACCAAGACCACCACCAACGCCCCUUACCCUCUCUUCUUCUACUCCGAUCUCCAGACCUCCCCCUCCUCCUCCCAACC